UUUUGUCAGGUAGUCUAGUUGUUAGAAUUCACUUUAUAGAAUGAAUAAGUGGAGUCUUUGGGGUUCGAACCUCAACCCCUGCAUAUAAUAAUGCAUUGUCCUAUCAACUGAGCUAUUUCAGGAGACAUUUUUUUAGUAUGCCUUUAUAUGGUAGCAUUUGACCAAUAUUUUAUUAUUGGGCAUUAAUUAGUAUUUAUCCCAUUUAACUUCCUUGGGUUUUUAUUUUAUUUUUGUUCUACCAUUAUUAUUGAGAAAUUAAAGUCUUUCUUGAAUCUAUUUAAUUCCCAUGUAACCAAAAAAAAUAAUAUAUUUAAUUCCCUUAGAAGGUCCAUGCAGCCAGGUCCCUAAAAAACAUCUUUUGCUAGCCUUGCCAAAUACUAGAAUAAAUACUGGCUCUCUUCCUCGACAAAAGUUUGUGACAUACAAAAAUACAACACAAACCAAACCACUCUCAUAAUCUUUUUGAUCCAUUCAAAAUAUUUGAUUUGUUCUCCAACUAUAUCUAUUUAACGAUCUUUCUAAAAAUAUGUCUUUGUUUCUUCGUACUUGUAAGAUUUCCUUGGAGUAAGUGUAUUGAGCUAGAAAGUAAAGCACUUUAAGGUAAGAGUUUUUUCCUCAUACAUCCAUACUAAGUGCUAAGAUUAUGUUUUGAAAUAGUUGUAGAAAUUCUUGUCAUUUGAAAGAAUAAAAAAUAUAAUAAUAAUUAAAAUAUAUAUUUAUUAAAGUUUGGAUUUAUUUAUGAAAUUUAUAUAUGAGAAUAUGGUAUUGAUUUGUAUUAUGUUUUAUAUGCUUCGUGGUGUUUGUGAAUAAAAAGAUAUAAUUUGUGUAAGAUUUAAUUGUGUGGUUGCCUUAGUGUCUGAGUUUUAUUUUGCAUUUUCCUAGCAUAUGCAUAGCAUGUGUGGCUUGUUUCAUUAUCAUGACAUUUGCAUAGCCUUUGUGGCUCGUUUUAACCGAUGUGGCUCGUUUAGCCUGUGUGGUUCGUUUAUAUCCGGAUCAUGUAUUACUUAAAAGCAUAACAUGCAUCUUAUGCAUAAUUUAAUUUGAGUUCUUUUUCAUAAAAUAUGGCUUGAGUGUGUUUUUAUUUCUUUUUGAUCGAAAAGUUUUUAUACUGUCUAUUUUAAGACAUUGUUUAUUUCUUGUCCUUUGAGUAUGAACCAAUUUGGAUAAGAAAAUUGACCCUUACAUUAAUAUAAUGUUGUAGGUACCAAAGAUAAAAUAUGAAGCUCGAUGUGUGAUGAAACGUUUAUGGGGCAAAUUGGGUUAUCAAUGAAAAAGAAACUAAUUUUUAUUAAUUUGUAAUUGUAACUUUUAACAUAUUUUUAAACUCUAUUAUUUCUUUCAUUGGGAAUAAUAAAUCUUACGGAGUAAUUUUCUAUUGAUUUAUUUUUUAAAGUUCAUCUUUCUAUUAGUUUCGUUCAAACAUUUUGUUAAAAAAAUAUAGUCUCAUAUUUUCUAAAGAAAUUAAUAAUUUUUAAUUAACGUCUUGGAUGAAAAUCCAGGGUGUUACAUCUUCUUGAAAGCUCUAAACGUUGGCUUGAAAGUUAGUGUUAGCGUUAGUUCGCCAAUAGAGCUCGUUUAGUUCAAUGUUUAUGAAGGCUUACAUUUCGUAGGCGAGGCAAAAAGGUGACUCAUCGGUGGUCAAGUGAGCGGUCGUUCGAUAAGCCUAUAGGACUAUAUGAAGUUCUUCCGCUCAGUUAGUUUUGGCUUCGUCUAACCUUAUGUGUAUCUUGCAAAGGAUUACUUUGUUCGUUGAUUCUACUUGCAUGUUUGCUUAAGGGUGUUCGACAUAAGUAAAGUUGUGUUUGAUAUUCAAGUUUCUUAGAUGGUCUUGAAACCUGCGAUCGGUAAACUUAAUUUCGUUGUCAGAGAUCACGAGGGUCGGUACUUCGAACCUUGUUAGGAUGUUUCUCUUGAAGAAACGUAGUACGUUUUUCGAUUUGAUCUUCGUGAGGGGUUCAGCUUUGAUCCAUUUUGUGGAGUAGUCCACUGCUACCACCAAAUCUUUUAUCUGUUUGCAGAUAAGUAAGCAGUGGUUAGGAUUCUUUAAUCCUCAAUAUUUAUUUUGUUGGAUUUAAAUAACAGUCAUGUAGAGUUUAGUUAUCUUAAGUAGACUAUACAAGUGAUGAGGAUGUUGGGACAUUCUAACGUAGUCAGUUGUCAAGUUACACCUGUUGAUCGCACGGAGAUCCUUACGUGCGGGGUCUUGCUAAUUCAAUGGUAAUUGAAACAUAAACUUAAAUUGGUGUUCCUAGGUUUCCAAAGGCAAUAAAGGCCAACGUUCUCUGAAGGUCUUACCAUCUAUGAAUCUUAGGACACUCUUAGCACACUACAAACGGGCAGCCCAAUCAGCAUCUACCUUACCUAGAGGUCGAGGAUAAUGAUAUCAAUAUGUACACUCCCUUUGGUGCUUGUUUCCCUAAUUAAUAACUAGUUACAUCCUAGGUUCAGUAGAUUUUACUCGGUAUUAGUAAUGUAAACUUCUAAGUACUUACUACCAGGGUCAAGUCGCUUUCAGUAUCUUUCGUCCAGUUACUAAUCACUUACUUCCUAUAUAGAUAGAUAUUAGUAUGCGGAUUUAAAUAUCAAGAUAUAAGCAUCCAGAAAGUAACAUCAAUAUUAGGCUCUGUCACAACCUAAGUACCUAAUACAGGGUCGCACUUCCCCAAAUUAAAUUAAUCAUAACAAAACUUAAUAGCGAACAGAAAACAUACUAAAAUAAACGACAUUAAAUUAAAUAAUUAUCGAACAAAACAAUGAGAGGUUCAUCUUAGAACCCAAGCCUAUAAAUGAACGAUAUUAAAUUAAAUAAUUAUCAAACAAAACAAUGAGAGGUUCAUCUUAGAACCCUAGCCUAUAAAUAUCUAGUUACACAUGAUAACUAAGACAAAAAACAAAAAGAUGACAACAUACUCUAAAAAAGAUAUGAGAAGAUAGAGCUCCUCCUUGGCUUCUAGAAUCGCCUUCCUCUUGAAGUGUUCUAGUUCGUAAUGAGAAAUUGUGAAUGAUAAAGGCGAUAUUUAUAGGGAAAGUUUCCACCUAACUUGGGCUAAAAUUAUGGGCUUUCAAAGGCGAAAAAGUUACAAAAAGUGACUUUUUUCGCAAGUAAUGGGGCGCCUAGCGCCUAGACCAUGCGCCAGACACAUGUUCCUUGGAAGUAUAGGCGCUAGCGCCUACUUCCAUGCGCGUGGGAGCUUUUGUGCUGCUUCUGGGCGCCUAGCGCCCCCCUCUGUGCGCCUGGGCACUUCAGUGCAUUUUCGAUGUUGCAAUGCCAGUUUUCUUCGCCUGUUGAGGUGUUUUCUUCAAAGUAAAAUGUACUGGAACUUGAGAACAAAAUUCCUCCCUUUGUAAAUUCUUCUGAGGCCUAUUGAAUAUUCAUUCUUCAUUUUGCCAGGGUCCACAUAAAUCUUCGGAUGUCUUUUCCUUUCCAAUUUGCAUGAUUUCUUCAUAGGUUUUCACAUCUAUGAAUCUUAGAAGUACCUAGCACACUUUCUCUUUCGAUAGUUCUACAAACAGUCAACCCUAUCAGCGUCUACCUUACCAAGGUGUGAGAAAAAUGGAUUUAUUGGGUUGCUUUAAGUCGUAAAGUCACUUGUUUCCUUAAUUACUAACUAGUUACAUCCUGAUUUCAGCAAAUUUUACUAAAUAAUAAUUAUGUCACCUCCUAAGUACUUACUAUCACGAUCCACUCGCUUUCGGUUUCUUUCGCUAGUUACUAACUAAUUACUUCCUCAUUAGACAGAUAUAAAUAUCAAAAUAUAAAUAUCAAUAUUAGGCCUUAUCACUACUAAGUGCCUAAAUCAGGGUAGCGCCCCAUAGGAGACAAAUCUUACGCACUAUAUUAAAAAUAAAUAGCAAACAUAAAAUAACUGAAUAAACGACUUUAGAUUAAAUAAGGGUCUUGUUAACGAGUGCCUCCGGGGCACUCUUUAAGCAUACUAUAUUAAGUAAUUAUUUUUUCAAAAUGUCAAAGUUUUCAAUUUCCAAUGCACUGAUUACACAAACUUUCAUAAAAAAAGUUACCAUUUAAGCCCCUUAAGUAGUGCCCCGAGGGCACUAGUUAACAUUUUCAAUUAAAUAAUUAUCCAACAAAUAAAAUAGAGGUUCAUCUUAGAAACCUAACCUAAAAAGAUUUAGUUAUCCAUGGUAACUAAAAACAAAUUACAAAAGAAAUAAAGCAUACCCUAGAACAAUAUGGAGUAAGGAGAGAGAAACUCCUCCCUAGAAGCUCCUAGUGAUCGCCUUCGUCUUGAAUCGCUUCGCUCUGAACGAUAAAAUAGUGAUGAGGAAGACAAUAUUUAUAGGGGAACUUUCCACCUGAUAUUGGGGCAAAAACACGGGCUUUCUUCACAAAAAGUCACAAAACAGCGUCUUACGCCGCAAGGCACAAGCACCUAUAGCCAUUCGACAGGCACAUGUGUGUAGCAUGCCAGCACCAGGAGCCUCCUUUUCAUGUGCCAGGCACCCCAGUGGAGGUUUAUGGGUGCAUGGGCCCCUCUUGUGCGAUGCACGCAUGAGUGUGUCGUCCGGUGCUGAAAACACAUGUUUCUUCACCUUUUUAAGUGUUUACUUCAAUGUAAGAUGUCUUGGAACUUGGGAACAAAAAUACUCCCUUUGUAAAGUCUUCUAAGGCCUCUUGAAUCUUCAUUCUUCAUCUUCCCAAGGAAUUCACAAAUCUUUAUAUGUCUUGCUUUAAUGAUAUGCAUGAUUUCUUCAUGAAUUACAUCAAGAACAUCCUAAAAUUGCUAUGUUUUUGGAAGAACAAAAUUACAUAUUCAAUUAUAGAAAACAUUACAAAUGUCCCUAAAUCAUGGGAAAUUGCUCUAAUACUCAUCUGUUAUGCUGGUAAAACAUGCUGAAAAUGAUUGAAAAACAUGCUAAGAAUAACGUAAGAUAAUCUGUCAUCACAACCCCAAAUUUAAAUUGUUGCUUGUCUUCAAGUAACAAAAGAAAAACAUAUUUUAUUCUUUGAAUUUUUUUUUUCCAGGAAAAACAUACAUUUCCAAACUUGUGUUCAGAACAUCAUUCAUCACAAUCACAACAUUUACAAACUUAUCUCAUUACACUCAAGCGGGACAUACUUGAAGAAGAUAACUCAUGCUCAACCACACUCUUUUCCAUGAUACACGCAUGUAUCUUUUAAAGUCAAUAUGGCUGAUCACGACAUUUUCCCACUCCAGUCGUCACAUCAAUGUACCUUGCUAUAAAUUUGAAACAAUUCUAAAUAGACAGUCAAAAUCAAUUUAUAUACACACUUUGAGGACUUUAAGGGUUAUAACAUGGCUUAGUUUAAGGGUAGAUAUAUUUGGAAAAAUAGGCUAACAAAGAAACCUUGGAGUUAGAUUAUCAACCUAGGGAUUCCUACUAAACAUUAAUGCCAACCUUCCUUCCUCGAAUUAAACAAGAUGGGUACUAAGUAUAACUAUUUAUCUUUUUCUUUCAACAUAAAUAAACAUUUUUUUGAAGAGAUCAAAAUUUUUGAUGUUCUUCGCUUUUUAGUUUUAUCUUUUUUUCUAUUUUUUUUGUAGAGCCAUGAUAAUCUACAUUUUUUUUUAUAAAUAAGUUCUACUAGUACCCCACCCCAAACUUAAAAUGUUUCUAAUUCAAAAGAGUAAUCCCAAACUUAGCUUCAAAUCAUACCAAGUCAUAAUAAUAAUCUAUCUAACUCCAUGAGAAAUCAAACAAAUUGCAUUUAAGGUUCAGGGUUGUGACAUGAUUCUUCACUUAAUAACAACAAAAGAUAUUGCAUCUAGAGUCUCAAAGUGGUUUCACAAAGUAUAAUAAGAAUAUAAAAGGAUGACUUAAAAAGCUCAAGGUACCAAAGAAAAAAUUGCCUCGUGUAAAUAUAGCCAUGUUGCACGGCAAAAGUUAUCAUGCAUAAGGAAAUCCUUAUGCACCGUGCAUAAACACUUCACAACCAUCAAAUCUAAUGUACACGUGUAAUAAUCCAAGACUUCUUAAACUACACCAAAUCAAGGAAUAAAGGAAAGAGGUAUAUCUUCAUUUUUACAAAAAAAAACCUCUCACUGAAAAUGUUUUCGUCACUUCUCUCUCUAGGACAUUCAAACCAACGCGACCUUAUAUCUUCUUCUCCAGCAAGAAUUGCUUUUUCGGCGCAGUGGCCGGUGAUGGCACCACCGCGUCGAAACUCAAAACUCCGUCGUUUCAAAAACAAAUUAUAUAUUCAACAAUCCUUUUCUUCCUACUUCUCAUUUUUGAAAUUGUUUUUCAAAGACAAACAGUAAACAAGCGUAGAUCUAAAGAUUAAGAUAUGAACAGAAAAACUUUCUACCUCCUUCUCUUUGAUCAGUUCAAUUCUUGAUGGGACGAAACAGUGUUUGAGCUUAGUGAUUUUGGUGGCUUUGUAGUGAAAACUCAAAAUGAAUUGCUGAAAAAUGAAUUUACUAUUCAAGAAGAAGACACCGCCGGUGGAGAUUUUGGUGGUUUUGGAGUAGAACUCACAUAAACCAUUUCCAAAGCAUAAUGGUUUUGGAGUACAACUCACAGAAACCAUUUCCACAACAAAAUGAUUUUGGAGUACAACUCACAGAAACCAUUUCUUUCCUCCUCCUCCAAUUGUGUCAGUCCAAAACUGAAUGAUGGCAAUGGCUCUAGGUCCUUAGUUUUUUUCACCUGUUGGAAACUAUUAAGUACAUCUAAUGAUUUUGGAGUACAACUCACAGAAACCAUUUUCACAUCAAAAUGGUUUUUGCAUAAUUUGAUACAAAACAUAUAAGGACAUUUGUGAUUGUCAUUGAACCAAAUCAACACUCUGAAACAAUUUCCAACUAACAUAUACAAUUUUGAUUGACGGUGAUGAUGAUGAAUGACGGUGGUGAUGAUGAUGAUGAUGUCGGUAUGGUGAUGAUGAUGGUGAAUGACGACGAUGAUGGUGAACGACGGUGUUGAUGAGAUUGAAGAUUCCGGUGGUGAUGAUGAUGAACGACGGUGAUGAUUCAGUUUGUUUCCGCCUUUGGUUCGUUUUGUUUGGUCCUGCGUUUGAUUUCCUUUGGGGGUGUAGGAAGCAAUUAUGUUGGACUACCGGUUAAUGGGCAGGGAUUUAUGCACGAUACAUAAGGAAAUCCUUAUGCAUGAUAACCGCACCCAUGUUACACAGCCGUAUAAUAUUUCUCUUUAACUACUUGAGAAAAAAAUUUAGAGGGAUUUCCUUACCCAUGUUACAUGCUUGAUAGUGAUCUCCCAUUUUUUUUUAUUUGCAAGCUUUUCUAUUUAUCCAAUCAUCCUUUCACACUAAAAUUUAGAGGGAGAUAGAAAUAAAUUUUGAAAGGAGAAAAUAAAUAGGAGAUCUCAGUUAAAAAAGAUGCAAGUGGUGGUCGCAAAAAGAUAUAAUGUUUUGUUGCAUGACUUUUCCACUUCACACACGAGAAACACCCCUAAAAUUGUAAGCUUGUGCACUUUUCCGUUUUAAAUCGAGAUUUUAACCACCAUACCUGGUAGAAUCUAAAAAAAGUAAACAUUGACAGUAUCUAAGUGAUAACGAUAAACUACGAAAAAAUGAACUCUUGCUUUCAUAAUAAGUUCUCUAAAUUCAUAAUGAAGUCCAUGGUGGCUUUAUUUUGCAAUACAAUUGCAUGGUACUCAAUCACAAGGAUUAGAUGUAUGUGUUUUAACUGCACGCUUGUGCAGUCCCAACAAACAUCGAAAUUCUUGUAUCACCACUGUGACCAAAAUCCGUUAGACUUGCAAUACAAGUAAUUCCAAAGACGAGACACUCAUAGUUCAUGUAUCUAGAAGGAGCAUUAUUCAAAAUUGAGGCUACUACUUCUAUAGACAAAAAUAAAGCAGCUUAAGAGAGGCAAGAGUAAGCCAAAUUCUUUUCCUCGGACAGCUCUUCGGCUGUCAAGUCCAACUUCUUCCUUGAAAACUCAUCAAUUGAAAGUCCUGGAUAAUAAAAAAAGUGAAGAAAUUGUUAACACUACAAAAUUUAACUAAAAUUUAUCAGUCAGAUCAUUAAAAAAUGUUUCUUUAAUUAUCACCAUGUCUAAAGUCACAUAUGAUUCAUUGCGAUUAGUUGAUAGCGUAAAAGAGUAUAUAAUUAAAAAAAGGCACUUUUUUUAUAAUGAAAGCACUAAAAAAACUUUUUUCCAGAAAAUGUCAAAGACUACAAAUUAAUUUUAAGCACUAGAAAAAAGAAUAUAAACUGGUCCGUAAUUUCAAUUCCAUUAGAAAAGCACCCCACCAGGGAGUAUGAGGAUUGUAAAAUCAAGUAUAUAGCGAAUAAUAAACACCAGCAAAUUAUGCAUGGGUAUAUAUAGUAGGUAAGUUGAAAACUACAAGAGGAUUAGCACAUAACAAAAACCGACAACUUAAGCAUGAGGGUGUUUUAACACUUAUGAUUGUGAUGGAUGUUAUGGUUUGUAAAAACAAAAAAGGUCUUUUUCUACCGAGUAAAGUGAACAUGCACGGGUGUUUUACCAGUUAUCAACAAACACCAAAAACUGAGGGGAAACGAUUCACCUUUUAAGAUUCAAUAUGCAAUAAAGUGAUUAAAACUUACCUUGAACUAUUUUCCAUUCACCAUUGGCACAGGUAACAGGGAAUGAAUAGAUCAAUCCAGAUGGUACAUUGUAGGAACCGUCAGAAUACACUCCCAUUGAAACGAAGGUACCCUAACAUUACAAUGGAAAAGAAAAUAAGCCGGUCUGGAAGCAAAUACAGAAGAAUCAUAAGUAAAGAAAAAUCAAAAUGUAGCCAACCUGGGGAGUUCCAAGAACCCAAUCGCGAAUGUGGUCACAGGCAGCACUAGCAGCAGAUAGAGCACUUGAAAGCUUUCUAGCCUUAAUAAUUGCAGCACCACGUUGUUGAACAGUGGAAAUGAAUUCUCCAUUCAACCUAAAUAGAGAAAAGUUGAAACACUUCAAUAUACAAAUAAUUUUGAAUUUUUUUUUGCUAAAGAUCAUACUCCCCCAGUUCCUUUUUAACUGUUGUUUUUGUAGAGAAUUUGUUUCUAUUUACAUGUCAAAAUUGAAUGCAAUAUGAACUAUUCUUUUGCAAAUAAUACCCUUCACUAUUUAUGGCAGAGAGUAAUAGGUGAAACGAAAUCGUAAAAAAUUAAGGAUGGUAUAGUAAAAAAAACAUAAUUUCAUCAAAAGUAACAAAAUUUAAUGUUUUUCUUGUUAUGUGUAAAUAUCUAUAAAACGUCUAAAAAUGAAUGGAGGAAGUGAGUUUAAAGUGUUUGUGAUAUACCAUGCAUCAUCGGAAACAAGUUCGCGGACAGGCUUCUCCCCAGCUGGGGUGUUAACAGUUGCAUGGUUGACAUCAGGAUACUGGGUUGAUGAAUGAUUACCCCAGAUUAUGACAUUCUUUACAUCAGAAACUUGAACAUUCAAUCUUUCAGAAAUUUGUCCCAAAGCCCUAUUGUGAUCCAGUCUAGUCAAACAAGAAAUGUUUCUUUCUGGAAUAGAUGGAGCGAAUUCCUUCAAGAUCAAUGCAUUGGUAUUUGCUGGGUUAGCAACAACCAGAACCUGCAAGAUAAUGCAAAGCCUUCUGUAAAUUUUCCAAAAAAACGCAUACAAUACAACUAAACUGCUUGUUUUCAAAUAAAAAGGUACUCAAUUCAUGAAUAAAAUUAGACUCCUUGGCAAUGAAAUCACGUGGACUUCAUCAUAUGGAAUACCCUUGCACAAAUAUGAAUAAAGUGGAGUGUUUUCCCAAGCACCUAAAUUCAUCUGAACAUUUGAAUCUCCUAAACCUCAAAGAGGCAAAAGUUUGGCAUAUAGAUAGAAGAAUUUAGAUACAACUGCAUACACUGCAACUCCAAAUGUCUUCAUUGUGAAAACUAACAAAUAAAAUCAAUAUAUACAAUCAUAUUUCAUAGUCUUUAUAUCCAGCAUAGUCUCAAACAAACCGAUACAACAACCAAGUUUUUUGCCACUAAAUGGGGUCAGCAACAUGGAUACAUCCAUAGUGUUUUGUCGUGAAUACAUUCAUAGUGUUAUAUAGUAGAAGAAUCUCAGACUAAUAAUUUUUAAUUAACAGACAACUAACAUGUGCCAAAGAAUAACAGUUUAUUAAAAACAAAGAAAAAAGGGAAGAACACCAAAUACAUGUAUAUAUUUGACAUGAUAAUAGUAUUUUAAAUAAGGUCAGACUGGCUGGUUCAAUUGGUCUGACUGAGAGCCUAUCACAUAAUCAAUAUGAACCACUAAUUGUAUAGAAAAUGCAUACAAAAGGGUAAAAACUUGUUCUACAUGACCAAUUUAGUAGUACCGCAGGUUCAACCACAAGUUCUAUUACCAAGAAAUGAAAUAUUAUAGGUUUAUAUGUUCUUUAUACAAUAGAAAAUGAAGUGACAUAUAAUUAUAUAAUAUAUUACAUAUGGAAUUAAAAAAAUAUUAAUGAUUAUGAUAAUGUUAGGCUGUUUCUUCUCAGAUAAUGUCUAAGCAUUACAAAAGAAUAUUCUAUAUUAGAAUCACGAAGUUAAAAAGUACUCCCUCCGUUUCAAAAUACAUGUUCAAGUCAACCACUUCACAUAUGCCAAUGCACAACUUUGCCUGUUAAUAUCUUUAAUUAUCUAAAGUAAAAAAAUUAUAAAAAUUUAAUAUUUUGAAAAUACUUGUCAAGACAAAUCAAACAACAUCUUACAUGCUAAUAUUUGUAUUUAUACAUUAGUUAAAAAGUAUGGUCAAAGUAAGUCAAGUGAAUAAUGCACAUUGCAAAAAUUGGACAUGUAUUUUGAAACGGAGGGAGUAAAUUUGAAUGUCUACCAAAAUAUGGUAGGGAUUUUUAAAGUAUGAUAUGAUCAUUUUUUUUUUUAAAAAAAAGAAAAAAACUUGGUUGUAUAAAUUUAAAUGUAUGAUGUUUUUGAGGACCCCUUCCCGGCCCCUGCAUAUGCGGGAGCUUUAAUGCACCAGGCUGCCCUUUUUCUAUAUAUACCAGUUCUCAAGCAGUUAGCCAUUGACCCGAUGACAUGACAAAGUCAAUUACAACAUUGCAUACAAAGUUGCAGAAGUCUGAGUUUACGAUGAAAGGGAUUACCUUGCAGUUGGCAGCAGCAUGCUUCUCAAGGGCAGAAGCCUGAGACUUGUAAAUAGAGACAUUCUUAGACAUCACAUCCUUCCUCUCCAUACCUUCUUUUCUUGGGAAUCCACCAACCAUGACAGCAAUAUUGACUCCAGUGCAUGCCUCGACAACAUCAGUUGUAGCAACAACACCUGAAACAAAUAAUUUCACACGACUUCAAACAAAAGUUGAUCGUGCAUACGAGUCUAAGAUUUCAACCCAUCAAGUUUAUGAAACAUUUAAUAUGGAGGAUAAGUUAUACCUUUAAGAAGUGGAAAUGCAGCAUCCACCAACUCCAUUUUAACUCCAUUCAAUGACUCUGCUGCAGGAGCAAUAUCAAGCAUGUGAAGAAUCACGGGUUGAUCAGGACCGAGCAUCACUCCCCUAGCAAUCAUUGGGACAAGAGCAUAACCAAUUUGCCCUGAAAUUUGAUAGAACAUUAUAUCAGUACAGAAAAAUCAACCGACCCAGAUUCCCUUCAUGCCGUUAGAUCAAAAUUAGACGGUCUAGAUUAAAGUAAAUCAACAGCAUUAUAAGCCGCAGAUUAAAUUCAGUAGUCACUACAUUUUCAAUUAUGAACAUGCAACUUUCUUAUUCAGGCCAUAUCACAAAUUCAACAAUGUAAACCCACUACACAUAAAAUUUGGACAGGCUAGAUUGAAGAUCCAUAAAAUGAAUUAAGAAAAUUUAGAAAAUACAUGAGUAAAGACUCAAUUUGAUCCCUCGCAAUUUUCUCAGGCCAAUUAAGUCCCCUACAAAAAAAUUAAAUCCAAACUAGUCCUAACAUUUAUACCGGGGACAAAUAAGUCCAUCUGUCAUAAUGAUUCGUGGAUUAAUUUGUCCUCGAUAUAAAAAAGGUGACUAAGGUGGGUUUAUUUUGUGUCGGGGACUAAAUUGGAUCGAGAGAAAAUUGUGAGAGACCAAAUUGAAUCUUUCAUUAAAAUACAUAUAUAGAUAGAUCAAUCAAUCAAUUAACAGCUACAUAUGAAAGAUUCAAAAAUAGAACACUGAUCAAUAAAAACUACACAAAUAACAGCAUAAUAACAAUGAAAUAAAUAAACACAAAACAUCAUCGUCAUUCAUCACAUGAUCAGAUCCGAACCCAUGAACAGAUCAAGAUCGAAACAAAACAAAGACAACAUUUUGAAACGAACCCAUUAUUUAAAAUCAGAAAAAUCAUCAGAGGAACAUGGUUGGAUCAUAGAUCUCGAAUAAAAAUGUAAAAACAUUAAGAUUAAAACAUGGGCGAUGAAAACAAAUAAUAGUUUAAAGUGAUGAAAGGAGUACCUGCGGCACCAGUGACAAGAACACGAACUGGGUCUUUGGCCAUUUUUGAUGAAAUGAAAGGAAUCGAAAAUGGAAGAUUGAUGAGAAGAGAAACAAGAGUUUUUGUUUGAGAGAGAGAAGAGUGAGUGAUGUAGUGUUUGUUUGUGCUGUGUGAUUUGUGGUUUUAUUUGUGUGUAUCUGGAGACAGUGUUGCCACGUUAUGAGGACGUGAAACGACACUUCUGUGUCGCGUUUAAGGAAUGGCUUUGGUGGUAAGGCUCUAAUGUCUUUGGGAAUACUCUCCCUAUCAAGUCCGGAUACUCCAAAACGGAAACGUACCCGUAUCAGAUACGUAUUAAAUAUCGAUACUUCACAGAUACUCUCGGAUACGUAUCCAUAAAGUGUCUGACUUAAAUAAUUUAAUUUCUAAAAAAUAUUUUACCGGAUACUUAUAAGAUAUUUCAUAGAUACAUCAUAAUACUUAUAAGAUACUUCACAUAUACGUAUCAUAGGACAAAAAAUGAAGGGUAAAAAAGUGAGACAAUGUUGUGAAAUUCAUUGGAAAUGUAUAUGAUUCAAUUUUAGAUAUGCAUCAGUAUAAUUGUUUCUUGAUGAACCACUUCAAAUUACACUUCUUGCGGAUAAAGGUAACGAGAGAGAGAUAUUCAACUAAUCAACAUUAGACAAAUUUUGCAUAAGUUCUUUUAAUGAUGCAUCUCACGAUAUCUCAAUGUAUAUGAAUGAAAAUAUAAUAUGGUUUAUAAGAAAACUUUACAUUUUUUAUUUUGAUCGAAUGUAUUAUUUUUAUAAUAGUAUAAUAAUCAAGAGUAAUCAAUGUUUAUUUCUUCAAGUAUUUUACAUGCAUAUAAGUGUUAGUAUAAAAAAUUUGUUAACGUAUCUUAACAGUAUUGUAUCAUACUCGCACUCGUAUCAGUAACCCGGCUUCAUGGUACUCUACUAAUUCGGAGUUCACGCCACAAAAUAAGUACUACUCCUUUGGGAAAUAGGCUUAUUUGAUUCAUUGAUCCUCUAAAUAAUUUAAAGUUUUCAUUUUGGUUCCACAAUUAAUAAAAUUCACGUUUUAGUCCCUCAUUUUUUCUUCCGUUUGCCAAAUAAAUCCCUGGUUGUUAAGUUUAAUCUCAAAUGUCUAUGGUAGACCAACUUUAAAAGUGAUCCACCAUAUACCUUAUUAAAAUUUUUAGUUUAAACCCUUUAAUCUGUUUUUUUUUUUAAAAGAUGUUCAUUGGAUUCUGCGUAUCUAUUGUAACGUACGAUGUACCAACAACAAUUAAUUUUCUCUUUUCUUUCUUUCUUCGUCUUCUACCUUACCGAUCUUCAUCAUCUUCAACUCACAUUUUCAAUAGAAUUAUAAUGAGCAACCAAUAUCAAAGAUACCAUAUAUCAAUGUAUCUCAUGCUUAUUUUGAUAUAUCAAGAUACCAUAUAUCAAUGAAUCUUCACCAUAGACCUUAAUUCUAACAGUGAUAUAUCAAAAUAAGCCUAUUGAAAUUAUUAUGAGCACCCAGUAUCAAAGAUACAAUCUAACAGUGUAUCUCAUGCUUCUUUGACAGAUUCUUCAACACCUACCUUCUCGAAAAUGUCAACAUUCACACACUGGUGAAUAAUGAACAAAGCUUUGUAAUCUCCAUUCUUCUUUUCUUUGUGUGUAACUCUUCAUGAAUAGCACAAUCACCAAGGGGCUCUAUCCCAUUUUGCACCAAAUCCCAAUCAUCUUUGAAACCAAACACCAUCUUCAUUUGUUUUGUAACAGCUAUAAAAAAUUAUUUCCGUCAAGAAUUGGAAGGUUUUCAAAAAAGUUUUCGUUUGUGCAUGCGCGUCACCAUUGAUGAAUCUCUAUAAUCUCAACCAGAGCACUUGAUGCCAGAUGUUGAAAAUUGUACUUGUUGUUAAUUGGUUUUAAAUUUGUGGUUUGGAAGAACAGAGAAAUCGUGAUACGAUUUCAUCAACGUGUCACGAUUUUCGGAAAACGUGACACGAUUUUCAAACUUUUUGGGUACGUUUUCAGGAUAAGGUUGGUCGUACCUUGGGUUUAGGGUUGAGUGUGAGGAUCUCUUGGGUUGGGAAACAUUGUAAACACCUUGGGUAGUGAGAUUUCACCAUUGGAAGGAUCAAAAAGCUUCCUUUUGUGUUUUCUCUUAGGAUUCAUUAUUGAAAGUGUGGGUAACACAAAAUGGGUAGAAAUUAGGUCUUGUUCUUAUGUAAGCUUAUAAGCUAAUUUCUUGUAACUCUUUUGUAACACUUUCAUCAUAGUGGAUUGGAGGGCUGCUCUCUCCCCCAGAUUAGGUCAUAUUGGACCGAACUGAGUCAACAAUCUUGGUGUGUUUGUUCCUUUUCUUUCAUAGCUUAUCUUUAUUGCUUUGAUUAUGUUUGUGGUGUUGCUCUACAUUUAGAUCUAGGUCUGUUUUUGUUGUUGUUGCUUGGACACAUUUUAUUCAUUGAUUACCACUUCCUUUGCUUCACACAUCUUUGUUAUUCAUUGGUGUGAUUUUGUCCGGAUUCACGACAAUACUGUUCACAUACACAAUGUUGUUAUCAAAGAAGAUAACAAAACAAUUCUGAGUGUAUUUUUUUUGUUGAAUUUCAAUUGAUCACUAUUGCAUUUACACUAUUCACAUAUAUAUACAUUAGAUACACCCUUCGAUACAUCACAUAUGAUACAACUAUAUCUCUCAACAAACAACUAACUAAUUAACUGAACUCUAACUAACUAUCUAAAAACAGUUAUACACUCAUAUCUCUAUUGUUACUUAUAUCACAAGUAAUCUGUUAUUGGCUAAAUUGAAUUACAACUCUGAACAUGAAUAAUACUUAUUCUAAUGUUGUUAUAUUUAAAAACAUAAAAGGUUGUAAUUAAGCGAUCGGCAUAAAAGGAUUUAAGAGGUUACAAAUCAAAUUUCAUUAUAAAUAAACAUUGCAUAUACAGUUAAAUACACGGUUGUUAAAAUCGGAACUUUACUUCAGGUCGAAAGGGAAUAGUAAAAUUGGGACUCGUAAAAUCGCAAUCAAAAUCGAAGGAUUUUACUCAAGGACAUUUGUAGAAUCGAUAUAAGAAAUUGUAAAAUCGCAAUCAAAAUCGAUGGACGUUACCCAAAAAUAAUAAUACUAAAUAUAUGUUAUAAAUGGUAUAUAUUCAUAAAUGACUUAGUUUAUAAAAAAUCGUAAAAUCGCAAUCAAAAUCAAUGGAUUUUGCCUAUUUUAAGAUUUUACUAUGGAUUUAGGUCGUUGAAGGUGAAAAAGAAAGUCGCAAAAUCCUGAAUUUUAGGAUUUAAGUCAGGAUUUUGAAAAUAAUGAUUAAAUAGUAAAUAUUACGAAAUGAAUCUAAAUAUUUUAUUAGUAUAAAAAUUAAAUCAUUUUAUCAAAAUUUAAAUUUAAAUAUAUUCAAUAUCCAGCUGGAAUGCAAUUAGGGAAGGAAACAUUCGUUUUUGCCAAGUUCUUUGUCCAACUUGUUUCAUUGAACUGUAAUUUGGCUUUCAAAAUUUGACGUUCAAGGCUUCUAAAUAACUCUCAAGUUGCAAUUAUACUUAGAACGAAUAAGUAUAAUGAUAGAUCUAUUCAAAUACAUCCAAUUUGUGCUAAAUGAUUCUUUAAUGAUUAAAUCAAAGUAAACAAACAACUACAGUACACACAAAGAUUUAAUUUGUAUACAAUAAUAAUGUACAAUUUUUUAUUUUUUUUUACACAUGUAUCCAAUCAAAUUAUGUUAUAUAGAGAUUUGUGAAGAUGUUUUAAAAAUUAAUAUAUAAAAUUGGCACUUUAGUGCAUAUAAAUUAAUCUAUUUCUUUGUUAAAAAAAAAAAAAAUCUCUCUCUAGAUAGCAUAUUAUUUUUAAACCGUAAAUAUCUAUCUUUCUAACAUCAUUGAGCAAUGUAGCCUAGAGAGGACUUUUUGGAUCGUGAGGAGUAUUAAAAUCAUUACGUUGGAUUAUAAAUAAUUAUAAGUUUAUUUUUGUAAAGAUAAAAAUUGUAUAAGUGAUUUGAACACCGUAUUUUCACACAAAACUUGAAAACAUCGGUAUAUGAACUAUCUUACUUAUAUACUAACAUUAUUUUUUCAUUUAAUGUAAAUCUUCUUUCUAACUCAUCACUAACACAUUGCACAUAUAGAUAAUUUAGACAAUAGAGCUAUGAUAAAUUUUCUUGAAUACUUCCACAUAAUUCAGUACAUAAUUUAUUGCUAUGUGCAUGUGCAUGUUUUGUGAUAUUAUUGUUAGCCUUUACCAACUUGGCUCUUGAAACUGGAUACAGCAAUUUAGUAAUAUAAUUUAAUUAAAAAAAAUGAUUGUUUUCUGCAAAUUAAUUAGUAACACAGCAUCAAAAUCUGUUCAUGAAAAAUGUUUAGAACUCUGGCAAUUCUGUUGAUUCCUCUGAUCUAAUCAACAAGUCAACCCAAAAACCCAUUCCAUCAUCAUCAUCAAAAGGGUUUUGGAAAUUUUCCAAUGAAUUAUUAUAAGGGUAUUCUUGAAUUGGUAAUUCAUGUGAAAUAGUCAUAGAAUUAGUUUCAUCAUCAGUUAUUGUCUCUGACCAAAAGCUUUCAUCAAUUUGAGGCAUUGUCACAAAUGAGUCUUCAGGGUCUUCACAAAUGAUGCUAUUGUCCAAAUUUUUUCCUUGUGAUGAAAAAUCACUAGAAAAAGUGCAAUUUGAUGAUGUAGUUUCCAUUGAGUUGGAAUUGGCAUUUGAAUCAGAUAUUUUGAUUUUUUGUUUUGACACUCUUUUUUUGGUAUUUGAAUGAGGUUGGUUAUUUUUGGUAUUCAAUAGUCUUUUCUUCAAAUGAGUGUGCCACAUAUUUUUUAUUUCAUUGUCUGUUCUUCCAGGUAAUUUUGCUGCUAUUGCUGACCACCUGAAAAAAAAAAAUCAGAAUAUUAAAUUAAUGUAUGAGAUUUGAAUUUUGCUUCUUGGAUAAAGUUAUUGAGAAAACAACAAAUUUUGAUUGCAUUCAUGCAUAGUGCUAUUUUUUGGAAGUGAAAAUGGAAUUAGAUUGAUCAACAAAGCAAGCAAUCUUCAUGGUACUUUGAUUUGAAAAAGGAAGCAAAUGAACAUAUGUACCUGUUCCCUAGCAACUCAUGCAUCUUAAUGAUAAUUUGCUCUUCUUCAUUUGAAAAAUUUCCUCUCUUAAUAUCAGUUCUUAAAUAAUUAAUCCAUCUCAAUCUACAACUCUUUCCACAUCUUAAUAAACCUGCAUAAUUGACAAGAGAAGCCAAAACUAAAUCAAUACACAAAAGAUAAUAGGAAAAAUCUAUGUAAGUCAUGAAAAUGACUUUUCUGGUGAAGUUAAAUGGUCAAUCAUUGAUCAUUUGUGUAUUUAAUCCAUGACACGUCAGAUUAUAUGAUGUAUUGCACAUUUACUCAUAAGGUGUGUCAUUAUAUGUUUACUUAUUGCAAUUGUCCCUGAAUAAAUCAAAUUAAACAUAGAUUCUCAUUUGUGCACUAAGAUUGAGAUUCCCCUUAAUAUUUUAAAUGAGGACUGGUUUGUAAUAAGGUAAAGUUUAGUUUUAAAGUAGUCCACCUGCAGGACACUAACUGACAUAACAUCGACAGUAAUACUAUUGACUAAAUAAAAUAACUUUUUAAAAAAGUCAAUUUUCUGACUUCAACGUAGAAUCCCACAAGAUACUAACAUUCCAAAUCAUCCAAAAAGUAGAAUGUCUCCAUGACAUUUGAAUGAAGGUACACUAUAAAAUAUCAUAUAAAAUCUAACAAAUAUCAUCAACAAAACUAGCUCAUUUGGUAAGUUAAGAGACACUGAAUUAACUAAAAUAACAAUUAAUAUACUAAUAUUUAUCAAGAAAGACGAACAAAUACCGGCAUCUUUUGGGAGAGCACGCCAAUUGCUAUGUCCAUGUUUGUUGAUGUAGGAUGUGAGGAUUUCAUCUUCCUCUAAGGUCCAAGGACCUUUCUUCAAUCCUUUCUUUUCACAACAUGGAGCUCUAACCAUCUUCAAAUUUGGUACGUCCAAGAGACUAUUUUAUGUAUUAUUAUUUUUGUGCUCUAACUAGCUAGCUAGUUAGGUUAAUUCUCUUGUAUUCUUUAGAAAAAAGGUUGCUCAACUUUGUUUUCCAAAGUUAAUUUAUAUAUAUACCGUAGGAUAUUCCGCACGCCACUAUUCAAGAUUGGCAAAUUGAAUAAUGGUCCACCACAAUAAUAGUUCCCUUUUUUCAUAUUCAUACCACUUGGGCAUUUAAAUACACCUUCCUGGAAAUAGAGUAUCUCUCUCUUAGGAAAAUGUUUUAUUUACUCGAGAAAAAUAUUACUCCCUCCGUCCCAAAUUGUAUGACGUUUUGAGCAUUUCACACAUAUUAAGAAAUGCAAUUAAUAUUGUGUGAAAAAAAAUAUUAUGAGUUGUUUUACAAAAUUGUCCUUAAUAAAUAACAUGAGAAAGAUAAAUGAAAGAAUUGAAAGAAGAGAUAGUAAUAAAUAGUUAAAGUUAUAAUAGGAAAAAUAACAUUAAUGUUGCAUUGAUAUUGUAAAGCGACAUAUAAUUUAGGACAAUUUUUUUCCUAAAGCAACAUACAAUUUGGGACGGAGGAAGUAACAUGUAUCCUCAAGAUAUAAGUUUGUUCAAAAAAAAUAAAAAUUACUCAAGACAUAAGUUAGCAUAAGAAAAAUAAAAAUUAUCUUUUAAAAAUUAUGUCUGUUUAUUUCAUAAAACGUUGAAAAUUAUUUUUUUUCUUUAAUAAAUAUUUAUUUAUAGAAUCUUUAACAUACAUGAUAAGUGCUCAAAAGUACCAUCUUUCAUGUGUUAAAAUAGGCAUUUUAAUGACUUGUUUUGCAAGUUAUCUAAGGAAAAGCAAUCAUUUGUUGUAAUUUGACCAUUUAUGCUUUCGAUGCCUUACGCUACUCAACUUGUGCAGGAAUGACAAGCAAGGACCAAGAAACAAGGUUCCAAGUCAAGCAGAACUCGCUUAAGCGAGAUAGUUCCAAGGAGCAACAUGGAAUCUCGCAGCCACCUCGCUUCUCAACUCGCUCAUGGAAAUCAGCAUCUCGCUUGCGCGAGAUUAAGUUAGAGAGCAAAUGGAAUUCCGCUUUCCAUCUCGCUUCUAGUUCGCGCAAGCAAAGAUUCAAAGAAUGAAGCCAAGUCGCUUAAGCGAGAAAGUUCCAGAAAGCAACUUCAAGACUCGCUUUCAAUUCGCUUCCAUGUUGCUCACGCGAGAUUCAACAAACUUCGGGGGAUGAGGUCCACAUGGCAUGACCUCAUUGGUCAGAUGAGGAUUCCCAGACAUUUCGCUUAAGCGAGAUGUACUUCGCUUAAGCGAGAUACAUGUUUUCAGCCCAUAUAAAUAGUUUUCUCUUCUCUUUUCAACCAUUCCAUUACUGUUUUAUUUACAUUUUUCUGGUUUUUAGAAAGAGACUAGGGCUUUUAUAGAGAGAGAAACACAAAGCAAGAUAGUUAGGAGUAGAUUCAAGCCAAGAUUUGUUGAGACAUCAUGGAUCUUGUCAUUGAAUCUUCAUUUCUUCUUCAUCAUUUGCAAAGCUAUCAUAGACAUAUGUAGCUAUAUCUACUCUUGUGGUUUUGAGGUAUUCAAACAAUCUAUUAUGUAAUCUUUUGAUCAUUUAACAUACUCCCUCCGGUCCUUUAUACAAGAAACAAAAGACAUAAAACAUCAAAAUCAAGGAAAUACAUUGAAAAUAGUUAUCUUCAUUUAAUACACCUUUACAUUUAAAAAAAAAAAAAAUCCAUGAAUACCCCUAAAUUAAUUACUUUUUAUUCCACCAACUUACUUACUUUUAAUAUUCUCUCUCAUAAUAAAUAAGGGCACAAAUGAAAUUUAGCUUCAAACAUACUUGAAACUUGGUCAAUAUUUCUUAUAAAAAGGACCAAAUUUUUUUUCACUUUUGUUUCUAAUAAAAAGGACCGGAGGGAGUAUGAUUCUAGCCAUUUAUUCAAUAUUGUUGUUAUUCUUGUUUUAUUGAGAUUUGUUUCUAGCCAUUUAUUCAAUAUAGUUAGGAGUAGAUUCAAGUCAAGAUUUGUUGAGACAUCAUGGAUCUUGUCAUUGAAUCUUCAUUUCUUCUUCAUCAUUUGCAAAGUUAUCAUAGACAUAUGUAGCUAUAUCUACUCUUGUGAUUUUGAGGUAUUCAAACAAGCUAUUAUGUAAUCUUUUGAUCAUUUAAGAUACUCCCUCCGGUCCUUUAUACAAGAAACAAAAGAGAUAAAACAUCAAGAUCAAGGAAAUACAUUGAAAAUAGUUAUCUUCAUUUAAUACACCUCUACAUUUAAAAAAAAAAUCCAUGAAUACCCUUAAAUUAAUUACUUUUUAUUCCACCAACUUACUUACUUUUAAUAUUCUCUCUCAUAAUAAAUAAGGGCACAAAUGAAAUUUAGCUUCAAACAUACUUGAAACUUGGUCAAUAUUUCUUAUAAAAAGGACCAAAUUUUUUUUCACUUUUGUUUCUAAUAAAAAGGACCGGAGGGAGUAUGAUUCUAGCCAUUUAUUCAAUAUUGUUGUUAUUCUUGCUUUUAUUGAGAUUUGAAAUGAUAUGGACACAUACUUUUGAAUCUAGAAAUAAAAUAACAAUCUAUCUUAAGUUAUCACUCUAGACAUAGAUGUUAAUAUUUGAUAAUCACUUUUAAUCUAGAACUUAAUGUUUUUGGGUCAUUUAAUCGGUUAGGGAAUCGUCGAUUAAACGAUCCAAUCGACUUUGUGAUCGUUUAAAUAUUUGGGAAAUCGAUGUUUAAACGAUCCCUUAGAAAUAACGAUAUCAUUUGGACACAAAUGAUAUUGUCGAGUGAUUGUGAUAAUAUCGUUUAAAAAGCUAUAAUCCAUCAAUCGAGAUAUUGCAGCUGUUACGCUUGGUUGAUGUCUCCGACCGCAAGCGAAAUAACCCUAUCCCUUCUCGUUUUACUUUUAUGUCGAAUAGGAAAAUAGUUUUACACAAACAAACAAUUUAUACCCAAACACUUAAUAUGACAAAUAUUGUGAAAAUGCUUAUGAAAUACGCAACUCCGUGCGGAAACGAUCCUAUUAUACUUACUUGUAAAUAGUUUUAUGACAUGUAAAAAUCUUACAUCAAUACACCGGUAAGAUAUAGGUCAUAACAUCCUUUGUUUUAAGUGAAAUGAGGAGUUAUAGAUUUUGUUAUGUCACUAACAUAACAAAAGCGGUCGAUGCAAACACAUCUUGUGUCAUAGCAUUGGAUAUUGUUUAAGACUUCUAGUGGUGCCACCGUCCCAAUGAUAAUGUGCAGUCUGCUACUCCAAUAUGCAUGCAGAUUGGAUCAAGUGUAAUGUUGAUUGUGCAUUUUUUGAAGCUGAAAGAAAAUUUGGCGUUGGUAUUUGUUUUCGAGACAGCCUUGGACAACUUAUCAAAGCUCACUCAAUGGUUAUUCCCUCUAUUCCAACUGCAGCUGAAUGUGAAGCUACUGCUAUACAACAAGCCCUCCAAAUUUCUCUUAAUCUUGGCCUCAAUCGGGUAGUAUUCGAAACUGAUUGGCAAAUUGUGAAUGAGUUAGAAAUUUUUCUCUCUAAUCAUAGGACUUUUCUUUUUUCUAAUGUUUGUUAUGCUCUAACUUAUGUUAGAAGACAAACUAAUAGAAUCACGCAUAAUCUUGCACAAACGUCUAUAUUACAUGCUAGUCCCACUACUUUUGAUCGUCCUCCAUAUUGUAUCCACUCUAUUAUUUUGGAUGAAAAGAAAUGAGCUAUCUUUCCAAAAUUCAAAAACAUUCUAAAUAAAAACCAUUUAGGAGAAGAAAACAACAGUCUAUGAUGUCACCCAUCACAUGUGAAAUUUUUGUUCGGGCUCGGUUGUGUCUUUAUGUGUGUAUUAAAAGUCUAAAACGGCGGGAAAAGGUUUUUGUUUUUAUAAAUAAAUAAAAAAGGCUUUCGAAUAAUUUAUAUUUUUAUAUGUAGUGUACUUUUCAAUUAUUAAUUUGUUCAUUUUUCUUAUAUUUGGCACAAGAAAAAUUACAGAAAUCCUCUCAUAAUAUGGAACAGAUCAAGGAGUAUAUAAACUAAACAUUGCUAAAUCAAAAUUCCAAUCCUGACUGCCUCAAUGAACUGUAACCCUACUGACUUCCUUGCUAACUUGUUCAAGGCUGACAAAUAACUUUCAAAUUGCAAUUACACCAGGAACGAACAAGUUUAUGACAUACCAAUUCCAAUAUAACCAUCCAUUUGAUUCAAAUGAUUCAUUAAUGAUUCAAAUCUAAUCAAAGAAAACACAAAACUACAUAUAUAAUUUUUAGGAAAAUUCUAUGGUGAAGUCAAUAGAUUGACUUUUUUGGUGAAGUUAAAUGGCAAAUUAUUGAGCAUUUGUGUAUUUAAUCCAUGCAACGUGAGAUUAUACGGUGUAUUGCACAUUUGCACAUAAUGUGUGUCAUUAUAUCUUUACUUAUUGCAAUUGUGUCUCUGAUUAAAUCAAAAUUAAACAUAGAUUCUCAUUUGUACAUUAUGUCAUACCCCAAAUUUGGACCAUUUGAAAUCUUUUUUGUCCAUAUUUUAUAAUAGUCCACCUGCUCUUUUAUUCGUUUUUUUUACCAUUUAAAACUCGUGUUUUUCGUCUUUAAUCAUUUAAAAACUGUCAUCUUGCAUUUAAGUCUCUGCUCGCUUUUUACAACAGUUAAAAUCACUUCAUCUGUAUUUUUUUUAUAACUUUUAGACGCAUUUUAUAUUUAAAAGUUUUAGUCAUAACAGUCAAGUCAUUUUAAAAGGUCUAAUUGUAUUUUCAAAGUCGUGUCUUUUUAAUCAUUUCAACCGAAAUUUCGGCAGGGAGGAUACUUUGAAGUACCUCAUGUCAAAUUUCGAAGGGACUUUUUUUUAUAUUAAUUAAUAUUUUAUUUUUAUUUUAUUUGUUUUUUUUAUUUUUCUUUUUUGUUUAUUAUUAUUUUAUUUUAUUAUUUUUUUUUAAAAAAAACAAAGAAAAGAAAGUCACGUGAACUUUCUUUCUUUCCUUCCUCUUUUCUUUUCCUUUUUUUUUUUUUUUUAUUAUUUUAUUUGUUAAGUCUUUAUCCCCAAGUCUCCAACAGGGGUAUUUUGGUCUUUGAUCUGUACUAGAGCCAACCCUAUUUUGUCACUAUAAAUACAUACACUGUCAAUCAUUGAGAAAUGGGUCCAAAAAAAAAUCACUGUUCAUGUCAGAAAAAAAAUCAGCAUCAAUUCACAAACCCUAAUUUUCUACUUUUCCAACCCUUUUUCAAAUCAAGCACAAAAAUUACAAAAAAAAUAGCAUGAGUUUAAGAAGAACAUUCAUGGGUUCAUAGGAAAAAUCCAGCAACACCAAAACUUUGACAAAACCUCAAAUCCAUUCAUAUAACCACACAAAUCACAAACAAGCAUAAACAAGCCAAAACCGAACCGAAGCAAUCAAAACCGGACCGGACCGAAGAAGAGCAAAACGAACCGGAGAAAGGGGAAAAAAACGUGAAGCUCUCCAUUAGAGGUAACUUUUGAUCCUUUCCACCUCUUGUGUAGUGUUGCUAGUGUUUUUGGUUAUUUUGUAUGAAGUUUUGUUUGAAGCUAAGAUUGUAGAUCUAGGAUUUUUGGUGCAUGUUUUAGAAAUUAUGAGUUUAGAUUUGAGUAGAGGAAGGGAAGAGGUUUGUUUUGGUGCAAAAAUUUUCGAAGAAAGCAAAAAAAAAAAACUCCGGCGCGGCGGCGCUCCGGCCGACCACCACGCCGGAGCAGCUCCGGCCGCCCCUCUUGAUCUUCUCCGGCCGUGUUGUUCUUGAGGGAGGGGAGAGCUUCUCUCUCUAAGUUUAACUUAGAGAGAGAAGUGUUUUAGAGUUGUGUUGUUUUUUUUGUUAAACUUGCUUUUAUAGUAAUUUCUUUUUUGCCGGAUCACACGCGCGCGUACUCACAACCAUACAAUGCUCCAUCACGUUAGUAGCCAUCAGAUCUGGAUCGUUCCUUGAUCUGACGGCCACUGUUUGAUCUGUCUUUAAAUUAUGUAUGUGUUCUGCUGUGUGGACUGUGGUAUGUUUUCUGUUUGAACCGUCAGAUCGUUGAUCUGACGGUCGCUGUGCUCUCUAUGUUUCCUUCUCUAUUUUGUGCUUUUUUUAAACCCUUGGAUCUUUGAUCCAAUGGCUGUGAUGAGAUCUUGGGAUUCAGAUCUGGACCUCUGGAUUCAUCCAACGGUCCAGAUUAGAUCCUGCUGAGCCAAUUUUUUUUUAUUUCUUAUUUUUAAUUGUCUUUAUUUUUAAAUACUGUUUUUUUACACUUUUUUGACAUUUUUGUGUUUAGAAAAAUUCCAAAAAUAUUUUUCUCACCAUUUUAAUUUUCUCUAAUUUUAAAAAUCCAUCCUAUUUGUUUUCUUUUAAUUUUUUUUUUUUUUUUAUUUCUUAGAUGAUGAUCUUAAUUAUUGUUUGUCUUAAUUCCUUGCUUUUUAUUAUUUAUGUCUCAUUCACCAUGAUAUUUCUUAUGUUACUAACGAUUUAAUUUUUGUCUUGAAUCAUAGCAUGCACAUUUAAUUUUCUCAUCAUUUUAUUUUGUCAUUGAUUUAGUGUGUAUAAAUAGGGAAUUGAUGUAAUUUUAUUUCUUGCAUUUUUAUUUUGGCAUAAAGGCCUUAGGGUUGUAUUUAGGAAUUGAUGUAAUAAUGUAGGUAACACAUGCACCGACACUACCACAUUUUAUUUACCGCUUUCCUUUAGUUUUUACGACGUUACGUUAGUUUUCACCGUUAGUUUAGAAAAAUCAUUUUCUCAAAAAAAUCGAAUAUGCGAAACUUCAAAAAUCAUUUUCUUAAUAACAUUUUCCCUUUAUUUUUUUAAUCAAAUUCUCAAUCAAUUUUAAUUCAACUUCAAUCAUUUUCAAAAUUUAAAAUCAAUCAACCUCACUCAUUUCUUUUAUCUCAUGCCUUGAGGCCUCUUUCUCUUCUUAAAACCAUUUUCAAAAAUCUUAAAAUCAACCUAACCCACCAAAGAAAUUUUUGAGUGGAACUACGUCGGUUUUGAUCCCUUUCCCAAAAAGGGUACGUAGGCAGAGGACUUGUCCUUCCAAAUCAAAUAAAAAUAACCAAAAACAUACUUCUUCUCCCUCCAUUCUUUCACUUAGAUUUUAGGUAAUAAUUUUUCAAGUAAGCAAAUGAAUUUAGCACAAGAUAAUCUAGGUAAGCGGUUCCUUCGGAGUACCGAAGUCGUUUAGGGUGCUUAACACCUUCCCUAUUCGAAACCAACCCCCGAAUCCAAAGUCUCGAUAAGGGUUUUUACUCAUUUUUUCCUUUCCCACGAAUAAAAAUUGAGAGUUCAAAGAUUGACGAUUCAAAUCAAUCAAUGGUUUGAUAUCCGAGAAUCGGGGAGCACACAUUAAGAUUGAAAUUCUCAUUAAUAUUUUGUAUGAGAACUGAUUUGUAAUAGGGUAAAGUUUAGUUUUAGAGUGGUCCACCAGUAUGACACUAGUUGACAUGACAUCGACAGUUAUACUAUUAGCUAAACAAAAUAACUUUUUCAAAAAAGCAAAUUUUCUGACUGCACCCUAGAAGCCCCCUUAAUUUUUAACCAUAACCAGUGGAAUAACAUUCUAUUUAUCCACUUUUCUACUACGCUUAAUUGUAAAUAUAUCAAUUUAAGCAUAUAUAAUAUGAUCAAAUAUUUUGAUAAGUAAGAUUAAAAUAAGCUAUUUUUAUAGUUAUAACUAUCAUUCCUAUUGUAGUGUGGUUGUUCAUAUUUUAAUGAAAUUUAACUAUUUCUUAAUUAAUAAUUUAAAAAAUAAUAUUAUAAAAAGGUUUAAAUAGUUUAAAUAAAGAGUAAAAAUAGAAGAAAAAAGUUGGUCAUAAACGAUCCAUCUCCCUUAUAUAUAAGUAUAUAAUAGAUCAGAAAUGAUAAAUAAACAUAAAACUUUAGACACAAAUACAACAUCAUAUACAACUGUUCACUUAUACCAUAUAUUUUAUUAUUAUUUUUUCAAUUCUCUUCCCUCUUUCUCUCUCCUUGUUGCAUUUUUUUUUUGAACUGCAUUUUUUUUCUUUUAACAGCCCAUGCUGCAUUUUUCUUUCUUGCAUCCCGAGUGUCUCUUUUAGCUUGCUCUCUGGUAAUCUUCCUUUGAACGCCGCCGCAACCUCCACCUCUCUCAUGUGCUAUAUGUGUUUGUUUUGUCUCUCGAGUUCUCACUGUUCUCUCUCUCCCUCGAGGUUUCUCUCAAUCAACGGCGAACACGGUCGUCACCAUCUUCAACAAAACAGAUAUGAUGUCCGAUGUAGUGGUGAUCUGAACGGAACUCCGGCGACGAGAGAGAGAAGAAGAUUCGUCGUCGCCGCGUUCAGAUUUGAACGGCUUGAUGGUGAGGACGGUGUUGGUUACCACUGAUGAAGGCCGACAAUCAUUGUGAGGAUGCAGGCUGCGGUGGUCAGGACGGCGGUGGUUAGGAGAAUGGUGUUGUCGUGAGGACAGAGAGAAUGCAGGGAAGAUGGAAGUAGGAAGAAGAUGGGUCUGUGGGGAUUUGACAAAACUGCCCCUGCUUAAUGGUGGAAAUAUCCAAACUACCCAUGGUGUCGUAUUUGUGUCAAAUAUUUUGUGUCUAGUUAUCAUUACUCAUAAUAGAUAUAGACAUAGGUACGAAUAGUUUACCUCUAUCUUUUUAGUACAAUGGCAAACCUUUCCUUAUACUCAUAAAAUAAAAAGGAGUUUCCAAGUGGUUGAUUAAAUAUAAAAAAAUAUUAACGAAUAGAUGGAAAGAUAAGAAAAGAGAUGGAGCAAAAUUUAAAAAAUAACAAAUCAACGAAUGACUUUUUGUUGAAGGGACGGAACAGAGUUAAGGAGUAUUUUAUAUCGGGUUUUAAUUUUAGGCCUAGCCUUAAUUUCGUGCGAGGAGGCAUGAUAUUAUGGGUCUAGCCUUAAUUUAGAUUUGAGGAGCAAUGAUAUUAGUAAACUGACAAUCGAACCAAACCAAAUUAAAUCGGUUUAGAUCGGUUUUGAAUUGAACAAAACAAGGUCAUAUAGUUUUCUAGUUUCAUUGGUUUUUUUUUUGUAUUGGUCGGGGUUUGAACCACAGACCUUUUAUAUUUUAUACAUUAUCCCAACCAACUAAGCUAAGCUCACGAGGACAGUUUCAUUGGUUUUGUUUCGAAGGAUAGUUUCAUUGGUUUUGUCAAAACCACUUACACCCCUAUAUAAAUCAACAUUAAUGUGGUUAAAACUAAACAAGGAAUGUGACAAAAAUUUGAAUACUUCACAUAACUUGGUUCAUAAUUUAUUACUAUUGCAAUUGAAUAUCUCUAACCUAAUGAUAUAAUCUUUUACAAGAAAUUUUUGUUUAGCUAACCUAAUGUUUUGCAGAGUAUAAAUAUUGUAUAAAAUAAAUUUGUAUUUUCCUUUUACAUCAUAGAUAUAUAUAUCAUCACCACCCUUUACCAAUGAUUGACUUGCUAUUGAAACUAGAUACAACAAUGUACCCUUUCACCUAUUGUAACGAACAAAUUGAAUUUAGUGACAUAAUUUAAUUUAAAAAGUGUUUGUUUAUAUUUAGUAACACACCAUCAAAAAAUGAUCAUGAUAUAAGUCUAAAACUCUGGCAAUUCUGUUGAUUCUCCUGAUUUGAUGAACACAUCAUACCAAAAAUCCAUGCCAUCAUCAUCAUUAUCAAAAGGGUUUUGAAAAUUUUCCACGGAAUUAUUAAAAAUGCAUUGUUGAUCUGGUAAAUCAUUUGAAACUGUCAUAGAAUUUGAUGGCAUGGUGGAACUAAUUUCAUCAUCAAUUACUGUCUCUGACCAAAAGCUUUCAUCAAUUUCAGGCAUUGUCACCAAUGAGUCUUCACAAAUGAUGCUAUUGUCCAAAUUUUUUUCUUGUGAUGAAAAAUCACUAGAAAAAGUGCAAUUUGAUGCUGUAGUUAAAGUGCUGGAAUUGGAAUCAGAUCUUUUGAUUUUUUGUUUUGACACUCUUUUUUUGGUAUUUGAAUUUGGUUGGUUAUUAUUGGUAUUCAAUAAUCUUUUCUUCAAGUGAGUGUGCCAUACAUUUUUUAUUUCAUUGUCUGUUCUUCCAGGUAAUUUUGCUGCUAUGGCUGACCACCUGAAAGUAAUAAUCAAAUAUUUAAUUAAUUAAUGCAUGAUUGAGUAAAAAAAAUACUUAAUUAAUGCAUGCAAUUCAAAUUUUGCUUCUUGGUUAAAGUGAUUGAGAAAACAACAAUUUUUUUUUUUCAACAAUAAACAACAAAUUUUGGUUGUAUUGAUUUUUGGAUUACAUGCAUAGUGCUAUGUAUGUCAAGGACAUACAUUCUAUAAUUGCGUCCUAAAAUAAAUAUUGUAUAAUUGCAUGUGCUUGAUACGACAAAUGCCUAGUAUUAUCUUAAUUUGGAUAGAUAUUUUAGAAAAUAAUGUUAAAAAAUAAUAUAUAUUUAAAAUUGAUUGAACGUUGUUGUGAACCUUUUUAUAUAUUAAACUACACAAUUAGUUACACAAUAUAUUAUUUUUUUACAAAAUUACACAGCUUAUUUUUUCCGUAAUAAAUUAAUUAAUAUUAAUGCUAUUUCCCCCUACUACUUAAAUAUUAUCUACAUAAUUUUCACACACAAAAAAAAAAAAAAAAAAUUAGCAAGAAAUUCAAAAGGACAUGCAAUUAUAAAAAACAUAAUUAACUCAUCAAAUUUCAGUAAAUUAGUUGCAAUGAUCAUAACCCAAUUGAAUAUAUGUAGUUACCUGUUCCCCAGUGAUUCAUGCAUCUUGAUGAUAGUUUCCUCUUCUUCAUUUGUAAAAUUUCCUCUCUUAAUAUCAGGUUUUAAAUAGUUAAUCCAUCUCAAUCUACAACUCUUUCCACAUCUUAAUAAACCUGCAAAGUUUACAAGAGAAACAAAAACUAAAUCAACACACAAAAGAUUUAAAACAUUCCAAAUUUUCCCAAAAGUAUAAUAUUAUAUCUAAAUCAUCAAGUUCAUUGCUAUAAGGGUUUUUUUAACCUAACAAAAAUAUCAAUAUUUAUCAAGAAAAAUGAACAAAUACCUGCAUGUUUUGGUAGGGCACGCCAAUUGCUAUGUCCAUGUUUAUUGAUGUAUGAUGUGAGGAUUUCAUCUUCCUCUAAGGUCCAAGGACCUUUCUUCAAUCCUUUCUUUUCACAACAAGGAGCCCUAACCAUCUUGAAAUUGAGAUGAAUUAUUUGUGCUCUCACAAGCUAGUUUAGUUAACUCUCUUGUGUUCUUUAGAAGCAAGAUUAUUCAACUUUGUUUCUCAAGGUUAGUUUAUAUAUAUAGCGUAGGAUAUUGCACACACCAUUAUUCAAGAUUGGCAAUUAAGUUGAAUGGUCCACGACAAUAAUUGAUAUUCGUCUUUUAAUAUUCAAACCAUUUGGCUUUUUAACACACCUUCCUCGAAAGAGUCUCUAUCUCUCUCUCUUUGGAAAAUGAAAUUUGGAAUUUUAAGUGAGACUUAAGAGUUGAAGAUUUUUCUACGUCACAAAUAUGGGUUUGAACAUUCUCAAUAAACACUACUUAGGAUAAGAAAACAACAGGUCUAUGUCACCUAUUAUAUGCGUGACAGUUUUUGUGCUGGUUCAGUUUUGUCUUUUUAUGUGUAAUAAAAGUCUAAAACGGUGGGAAAUUAUUUUAUUUAUACACACCCUUGGAAAUGAAAUAUAACCAAAAGUAGUACUUGAAAGUUCAAUAUAUGUACUUAAAUCAUUUUUGUUUAUAUUUUUUCUGGAGGGAGGAUGGUAAUAUUAACAACUUUUUUUUAUCAAAGUUAGAAAAAUUAAAUUGCAAAACAAGAGUAGGCCUGAAUCUUAUUACAACAAAAAGCAGGCCAACUAUGACCAAACAGGGGCGUCCUUGAGGGGGUGCAAACAGCUCAAACGAGUUGGGCCUCCCUCAAGGAUGGGUCUCAAGCGUGGGGGUUCCUCAUGAUUGAUUUUAGUGUUAGGUGGGGAUUCCUCAUGUAUACGGUAGUCAUUUUCACCUCUAGGUGUACCGCAUAUAUACAACACCUUGUAUUUAUCUUUUAAAAAAUAUAAAUAGAACAUCACUCUUUUAAAAAAAAUACGUUUUGAUUUUAUCACCGGCCUCUUUUCAUUCCCAGAGCCGAGCCUCCGAAUUCUCAGGGACGACCGUGACCAAACUCAACUAAAACAGUUCUCAACUAAAACAACAUGUAUGCAAAGAAUCAAAUCAUCUGUCUAAACUAAAUUGUCAAACAACUAACUAUUAGCACAUAUUAAGAAACAUCUCCUGGAAGUCAAACAUAUUUAGGGUUGCUUUUGAUUACAUCCUUUUUAAGACGAGUUUGGAUUUGCUCACUACUUGUGAUGCCAUCAGAGCCUUUGCCUCUUGCAGAGCUGCUACUCUUUCUUGACUUCUUGCUGGACUUUGGUUGGUGAUGAUCAUCUGGUUGUGCCUCCAAAUACUGCAAAGCCAUAGGGUGCAUAUUCAUCUUUUCUUUGUCGGUGUCAGGAUCCAUAGUGGCAUUUGUAGUGUCAGAGUCCACCACAUCACCCCAAAAUUUACUAAGAAUUUGGACACUUUUCUUGCUUGCCUCUGAGCAAUGCUUAGAGUUAUUAGCUUUAUGAAACCUUCCUUUGUUUGGUUCUAACACUUCAGUAACAGUCACAGGUUCCACCAAUUUAUAAGUAACAGGCAUCUCAGCUGUAGUAAGCAACUCAGCAGAAGCACACUGCCUCCCAUGCUCAGAUGACAACAACAGAGUGUUUGGUACCAAGAUCAGCUGUAGAGGACCUUUUUUUCAAUUCACUAGGUGUCUUUAAGCCAUCUUUGUGAUCCAAACAAUCAAUCUCUUUGGAGACAAGUUCAAGAGGCUCAAGUAUAAGAGAUGAGAUGAUAUUUUUUUCUCGAAUAUUUUCAUCCAUUUUGUUUUUAACGAAUUUGGAUUUGUAUUGUAUCGAUGUACUCUAUCAAUUUGGAUGAAUGAAUAUCGUUUAUUUUUGUCAAAAAAAGUAAUGGUCGGGUUCGAACCUUAAAAACUCCACAUGUUUACCUUAAAGGUGAAUUAUAGUCACUAAGCUACUUGACAUAAAUAAAUAAAUUAAUUAAUUUUGGCAUAAUCAUUCAUUUCGCUAGAAUAAAGUUGGAUACUUCUGCUAUAAGAUACAGUUGGAUGUGCCCUUUAAUGUAUCUCAGUUGGUAGCUACUAUAGAUAUUAGUUACAUGAAUCAGGGUUUAAACCUUGAAUUUCUGACUCCGAGUCAGUCUUAAGAUGUUUGAUGACGUGGGUAAAUCAGUAAAGUUGUGUCCUUUUAAUUAUUGAAUGUCUUUUUUCUUGCAAUUUUUUGUGUUAACCUUCCAAAUUUCAGGGUAAGGAGGCAUUGGUAAUCCGGAGUUUGACCAUCAGAUAAAUAUAAUAUAACUAGAAAUUAUUUUUGCGUUUUUUAUUGCAAAAUAUCCGUUCAUAAUUAAAAUUAUCUAAAAUAUAUUUUCAUUAGAAUUGAUCAAAGAAAGUUAAAAACAAAUAUUUAUAUAUAAUACUAACUACUAAAUAACAAUAAUAAAUUUGAUACCCUAAAAAAUGAUACCCCUCUGUCCAUGCUCAAGGCCAGUCUUUAUCUCCACUUUGUACUUAAAUUGUGUAAACCUUCACGACAUAACCUGACACUAUUGUUAGGACUUUGUUUGAUAAAAAUAAGAGAUAUCCCAUAGUUGACAACUGAUAGAUAAUAACUUAUAUUUGAUGGGAAAAAAGUCUAGAUACAAUGUUAAAUGAAACCUUUUAUAUUUCUUUAUUUAUUGAUAUUAAUAUACAAUUAUAUUAUUCCGGAGUAGAACCAAUAAGAGAAUUAAAGCCUAUACCCUCUAAAAGAAAAACAAGAAUGAGAGUCUAUACAUCAUCGUCAACAACAACAAAGCUUUGUCCUAUUAAGUGUAGUCAACUACAUGGAUCAAAUUACGUCAUAUUGUUCGAUCAUAAACCAUAAUUGGAUCUAACUUAUUAAACUCUAAAUCUUUUCUAAUGGUUUCUCUUAUAGUUUUUCCAGAUCAUCUUCUAACUCUUCUGAUCUAACUCUCCAUCUUUUCUCCCCAAUUCUCUCUAAUGGUGGCAUUCCUGAUCCUAUCCCGUCUAGUCUUACCACACAUCCAACAUAACAUCUUCAUUUCCACUAUGCUUAUUUGAUUCUCGUAUUGGUUACGUUCUUAAACACUCAACAAUUCGUCCCAUAAAACAUCACAUAUUCUGACCAAUAUCUGGUAGAAUUUUCUUUUCAACUUAAACGGAAGUUUUUUAUCACAUAAUACAAUUGUUUACACAUGUUUCUUUUUCUUCGUCAUUUUGUAUUAUGAACCCAAGAUAUUUAAAAUGUGUCACUUGGGAUAUGAUAUGCCCUCCCACCUUCACCUCCAUGGUGGAACUUUUUCUUAUUUUGCUGAAGUCCAUAUUCUCUGUCUUUCUUCUACUCAAUCGAAAACCAUUCUCUUCUAAAGCUUGUCUCCUGGUCUCUAACCUCUCAUUCAUUUUCUUCCUUGACUCUCCAUUCAAAACUACAUCAUUUACAAAAAGCAUACGUCUUAAUAUUCCUCAAAUAUAUCAAAAACUAAAGUAAAAAGAUAAGGUCUUAGGUUUGACCUUUGAUGCAAUCCUAUUGUUACGAGAAAAUUGUUGAUAAUCUCAUCUUACAUCCUCACACUAGUCGAGUCUUUUUCAUAUAAAUUCUAGGUAGAUUUAAUAUAAGCCAUCUUAAUCCUUUUCUACGAUAUAAUAUAAGACAUGAUAUACAACUUAAUGUAAUAAUUUCCGUGUUCCAUGUUAUCAGCAGCCUUUAAAUUAUUUUUUAAAAUUGUCGUUUCCAAUAAAAACGCAAGUUUUACCAUAUUGUUUUCUUUGUUGGUGAAAACAUUAUUUUAAAGUAUAUAUAUUAUAUAGUAUGCAUUUUUUUUGACAAAGAUAUUAUAUAGUAUGCAUAUACUUUGAAUAUCUAGAGAAUAAUGCAAGAUAAGCUGCCAAUGUACAUGACAGGAUCUCAGGGUGACCUUGAUCCAUCCAUCCACAGAAUAAGAACGGCAAUUUGUCACUGUUGGUGAGCAGCCAGACGGCGUGCAGACAAAUAAUAAUAAUGAGUGCUCUAAUAAUAAUAUACACUAUAUAAAGAAAAUAAUAUGAUUUGGUUCAUUUGGCUUAGUUAUUUUUCUUAUUUCCGCUCUUUUUAUUUUGAUAAUGUUUGUAAAAUAUGAACGGUAUUUUUUUUUAUAAAAUUUUAAUUUUGAUUAAAACUAAAAAAAAUAUAAAUGUUUGUUGCUUUCAAGUUAUAAAAAAUCAAAAUAACCAUGAUUAUUUCAACAACACCGACAAUAAUACAAUAUAACAAAAAAUAUAUAAUUUAAAUUCUUUUUUUAAUGACACCAACAACAAUUUUAUUUUAGAAAAAGUUGUUUAAGGGUAUAAUUAGAAUGAUGAAAAAGUAAGUAUAAAUAUACUCAUCUAGUUUGUUACACUUUUUAAAUGAUAAAGGAAAAAAAAUAAAAAAUAAAUAUAUUUAUAUCGUGUUUGUUACAUUUUUUUUAAUAUUUAAAUUUAUUCUUAUCUAUUUGUUAAAUGUGUUAUUUGUAUUGAAAAUUGAGGAUAUUUUUGGAAAGAAAAAUCCAACCCAAAAAUGCUGAAAGGAAUAGUUUUCUUUAUAGCAUAGAUUAUACCUUUAAACAUAUUUUGGUAUAACUUUGUCAUAUUAUUAGUGUUAUUAAACAAGAUAAGAAUUUGCAAACAAAGUUAGAUAGUUCAAAGGAAAAAAGAACGAGUAUGUUAGGAAAUCAAAGAAGAGGUGAGCUAGAACCGAGCCAGGACGGGUUCAGAUAUAAUCAAUUUAGAGAGUUGAAUGUAUUUCACGAGAUCAAUUCUCUAAUGUUGUAAAAUACACAUUUAUUGGGAGGUAACCUAGUAUUAAUACCCUUUCUUUUUAUUUUCAGUCAUUUAUAGUUUUUUUUGUGUGUGUAUAUUAUAGCAUAUUUUGAGCCUUCAUGAAUUUAGUGAGUUUUUGCAUUGGUGUUGUUCCUGUGUGAACAAGUAGGAUAUACCUCUUGAGAAGAGGGUGUACUUCCUUUUCAUGUGAGUAAAACUACCACGACUUGUUGUGUGAUUGGAUGGCAGCAUGUAGGAAAGUGAGUAGUUAGUGAGUAUGAGUAUGGUUGUUAGUCUGUAUUACAAUACAGUAGGUGCACCUUCAUAAUUAUAUAAAUAGGGGGCAAUUCUUACAUCAUAAGUCAGUUUUGUGUGAUCGAGUUAAACCCAACCAAAAAUUAUAAGAUUUUUAAGAUUGAAUUUCAUAUUCGAAUGAACCUUAUAGACGUGAGAAAAGUUGUUUUUUUAACUACAAGUAUAGCAAACGAAAAAUUAUGAUAGAAUCCAAUAUAAUGGAUCUCUCCUUUUGAAAACCAGACUUUAGGAUUUCCUCCGAUCCAACUUAAGUAUAUAUCUACACACAAUAAAAAUAAAGAAAGAAGUUUCCGCUUUCAAUUAAUUACGUCGAAGUUCUUGAGUAGUCAUACAUCCCUUUAAGCGAAGGAAUCCCGUAAAAUAAAUUUCUUUAUAAAAAAGGAAUAUCCUCAAAAUCAUAAGAGAUUUAUAGGAUAUAUCUUCAAGCUCCAAUACACCCACACUCUUCAAAGAAGAAAAUAUGUGAACUACAUUUAACAACGCUCUAUGGUAUGAGAAUAAGAGAAAAUAAGAAAAAUAUAUAGAUGUUUAAAAUGUUAUCGUCUCAUGCAUCUUGAAACGAAUAACUCGUGUCAAUAUAUAUACAUAUAUAGGGUCAGAUAAGAUUGAUUUAUCUGAGUUUAUAUACCAACAUAAGUUUUAUGAGACUUUUUGGAAAGUCUUAUAAAAGCAGCUUAUUUCAUUAUUUGUAAGCUAUUUUUAGGUUAUUUUCAUAAGUUAUUCAAGAUAGUUUAUGAAAGCAGCAGCUUAGAACAUAUACAAAAAUUAUUAACAUUAUUUUAUCAUUUUCUAUAGAAAUAAUUUAUGUAAGCUUAUAAAUAAGUGUUUAUUAUGAUAAGGGAUUAUGCUAUAAACGGUGAAUAAAAUGAUUAUUCAAAAAAGGCCAUAGUCUUGAUCUUCCUGUGGGCAUUAUUCAAGAUAAUCAACUGCAACAACAAAAUAUUAAUUGUCAAUGACCCAUCACCAACGAAAGAUCGAGAUAAUACAUUUCGUCAGUUGCACCCAAAAUCUUAAAGGUUAUAGGAUGUAUCAUAUGAGAGGAGGUUUUAUAAUAAGAGAUGAGAGCAUUAAGUUAGCACCCUAAGAUUAAUCUGAAUGGUGGAGAUGAUAUUUCACUUAAUUUCACGCUUAACCACAUGAUUGCCUCUAUUUUCCCUUUUUUCUUUUUUGUUAUUCACACCCAUUGAUCUUCUUCAGGAUUGAGAGUUCUAUCAAAUUAAUUUUCCCAUUUCAUCGUGGUUGCUCUUCUUUCUUCUCCAUUAAUUUGACGAAAAACUCUAUCCAAGAAUGAACUUAAUUUUAUACAAACAUAGAGAAAAGUAUAUGGAAGAAAAAUUAAAAGGGUUUCUUUUACAGUAUAAAGAGUUGAGAACAUUCCUUCUUUGUUGCAUAGCAGUCAUAAGCUUUUCAAUUGUUGAUCGAAUUUUACAAACAUGUUUGUAAGUACCAAUUUUCCCUUUGACGAAAAAAACCAAAAAAGGUUUUUCUUUUUAUUGAUCAUUGAUGAUGAAAGUAAAGGAAAAACCACCAAAAGGAAUUGGGUUUUAAUCACUUUGAAUUUUCAUGUUCUACUGACUGUAUUUCGAAUUUUCCACCAUCAAGAGUGAGAUUACAAAACUAGGAAGAGACACGAGAAUGAUAGACAUAAUGGUUUGAAAAUAAAAGUAACAAAAGAAAAGGAUUUCCACGGAACAUGAGGGGAAUAGGAAAGAGUGGAGAAAGAAGGGAAUUGAGAAAAGGAUUUCCAUGGAUCAUAUCAAUUAUCAAGUGAAAUGAUAUGUGAGAAUAAUAAGAAUAAUUAAUAGCAUUUGGAUUAAAAAUGAAUAUAUAUCAUUUAUGGCUCCGUUUUUGCUCCGUUCGCGUCCGUUUUUUUGCCGGUUUCCUGUCCAAUUUGUGUUGCGGCCCGAUCUGGUUCAGAUCUAGUUGGAGGAGGUGAGGUGGCCACGAAUUUGGUGGUUUCGAUGGUGAGGGGUUGGCGGUCCGAUGGUGUGAGGCGGUGGUGGAUCUGUGCGGAUCGGAGGUGGUGUUCCGAUCUUUGUGGAUAUGUCACGGGAGUUUUGUGAGGUGGUGGUGGUGUUUCAUGGUGGAGGGUUUCUCGGUGGUGGUUUUGUAGUGGCGGCGGCGGUGGGUGGUCCUUCCUGCCGAGUACCUCCCACUCUAUUGUGUCGUUGCUAACAUCGAGUAUGGGACGCCAAUAAUACACUACUACAGCUUCUUCCCCUUCCGGACCACUUUGUCCACCUACAAACAACAGCUUAUCUCCACAAAUCUUGAAAGCAAGGCACUUAUUCUUGAUCAUGCUAGUUAAACGUUCAAUUGCUUACAACUAAUCAUUAAAUACAGCAACAAGUGGUGGACAUGCUUUUGAACUGUGAUAUAUAUGAUAUAAUGACUUCAUUCCUUGAGUGAUGAUCAUAUGAAUCUGUUAGAUUUUUGUUCCUUUGUGGUGGUAUCAAGGGUGGGAUGUGUAGGUUGUGACGGGGUGGUUUAUGUUGGUGACUAACGUAUGGUGUGGAGGGGGUGAGGUGUGGUGCCGAUCUAUGUGGUCCAAUUCUGGCGGCUGCAGGUGUGCGACAUAUCUUUCAUCCACGAUUAAUCCUCCUUCAACGAACUCCCGGAUCGUUUGUCGUCAUAAGGAUCGUGGUGGUUGUCGUUAUUCGUACCGGUGGCCAUGUAGCUUUAGAUUUUGCUUGAUUUGGUGGCAGACCCCUCUCCGGGGUCACUGUAUGUCCGUUACUUUUACUGAUUGUUUUCUGUUGUGUGCUGGUGUUGUGGUGGUGCGUGGUGGUGGUGAUUUGGUUGAGGUGGUGGUGGUGGCUUUGCAUGGUGGUGGUGGUGGCUUUAGAUGGGUAGUAUUUCUUUUGUUUUGGACUCGAAUUUGGUGUCAUAAUGAUUUGCGUACGAGAGCUAUAUAAGAUGGUGGUUGGUGUUGUUUAGGUGAGGAGGUGGGUGUUGCUUGGGGUGAUUUCCUUUGGAGGCAGCCUCUGUUACACGGGCCCAUGUUCGUCGUCACUAGCUCUUAUUUGCGUUUUUGGGUUGUUAAGGUGUUUGGAGGGCGCAUGUCCCAUUUGAGCUGAGCCUUUUCCUUUUGAUUUGUUGUUUGCACCACCGCAUAUCAUGUCAUUUGUCUUACUUAUUGUGUGUUAGGUUCCGGUGGGCCGAUUACUUUUAGUUCGAGAUCGGGAGUCACUGUCUAGCUGCAAUCUUGUUUGGCUUGAUUUGGUGUUUCUCUAGCGUACCGGGGGUGAGAGGUUCCCUUCUGUUUUGGUCGUUAAGUAUGGUGGGACGAUGAAUUUUGAUUCAAUAUCGGGAGUCAGUUCUUUGGGUCAAGUUUGAUUUUGGACUUUUUUAUGGUAUUUCUUUCGGUAGAUCGGAGGUGGAGAGGUGGUGAAAGUUGAAUGAUCUUUCAGAUAUGAGCUUUUCGGAUGUGGCUCAGCUUUGGUGUAGAGGAUUGAUGUAGUAAAUUCGCAAGUGUACAGUUUACCGAUGUAGUAAUAAGAGAGUAUCGUUCCAACAUGGAGUUGUUUAAUUCAAUUAACUUUUAUGAAUGAUUAGAAGAGAGUUUAGUUGAAAAGUUGGGAUUUAAAACGGUUUAAAAGUAAUAAUAAAAAACGCCUUGAGAUUAUUGGUUCAUCUUGGUGACAAACCCUUCAUAAACCAAACCCUAAAGCUAGAACUUUAUGUUGGAUCUACUUUCUAAAGACAAGUUUCUCUUAAGUAUAUCGCAUCUCCUUUCAGUUUCAGUGUGUGUGUUCCUCUAGCAACCACGCCUAUUCUCAUGGUUGAUUGCUAUUAUAAUCUUUGAAGAACGAAACUUUAUUGUCUCAAGGUUUGCUAGACUAUUAUCAUGUUUUGCAAUCCUUGUUUAAUUUCACUUGUGCCAAUUUCAAAACUUCUUAUUUCGAUGCUUCGCUUUGAUAUUUGUGAUGAUGAAUUAACAAGUACUAACCCUCCGCUGUCGCAUUAUGAGUUUGAUACUUGUUAAUUCAUUAUAAAAACGGUGAAAUUAGAUUAGAAAGUAGAUUUACAUAAAAUUAGGGUUCGAGGCUUGGUUUGAUUAGGAUUAGGUCAUUAGACUCAUCCAACAAUUCAAAGACAAGAAGAGUUUACUCACUCAUGUUAAUUGUACACAUAGAAGAGAAGAAGGAGAAGAACAUAAAAUAAAAUAAUAAAAAGAAGAAAUUUUAUUCAAAGAAAACAAUUGUCACUAUUAAAUUCAGAGAACAAAAGAUGAUUAUACAAGCUUGAUGGCUGCUCUAUUUAUAGUCUAACAUUGACUUAAGCCCUAAGAAAUAAAUCACUAAAGUAUUGCACAAGAAACCACGGGCUUUAGGUCAAAAAUAAACUAAUAGGCAGCUUGUCCAGGAAGCAAAAAGCAGCAAAAGGGGCUCUAGGCUGAUGGCAUGGUCGUGUGGCUGGUGGCACGAGCCGUGUCAAGCUUCUGACUUAGGGGAUUCAUAUUUUUGCACAAAACCUUCGUAUUUUUAGUCCGAAUCAGCUCCAAAUCUCAUUUCUUUUGUUCCAAGACUCAUUCUUUAGAAUAUUUGUUCCUGAAAUUAAAUAACUUGCAAUUGAAGUAAAAUAGUUCUAAAAAGGAAUUAAAAACAUAUAAAAUCUAAAUAAAAUAGACUCAAAUAAUAUAUUAAAAACACUAAUUAUUGACUCAUCAAGAAUUGGGAAUUUAAUUUUUAGUUCUCUUUGGGGGUGAGUAGUGACGAUGGGUGCUUUUGGAUAUCGUUUUUCAGUAGUCGUUUACAUGAAGGUGUCUGUUUUAGGUGGUGACGUGUAUUUUAGCGGGCUUUUGUCCUCAAGGUUGUCUUUUAGGGUGUUUAUUUUCGCGUGUUCCGCCUAUAUACGGCGCCUUAGAUUGUCUUGAGCAGGAGGAUCUGAUUGUUAAAUAAAUUUUGUUGUAGAAAAAAAAAAGUAGAUGCGAGACUAAAAUACUGACUUUAACCCAAAAUCCAUUGUAUCAUAUACUUGUGGUUAACCUUGAAAAAGGGAGACGAAGAAUUGAAGAUUGUCUGGCAAAGAGAAGAGGAGAUAUUACAUGCUUGGUGUCCACUAGUCACGCCGCCAUUGGCGAUUAUAUGUCGUUGUACAUCGUAGCAUAAACCUUAGUGGCUGUGCAUGUUUUAAGGAAGAGAAUGAAUACGUGAUAGAGAAAGAUGAUAGGUUUAACAUUUUGGCUUUGGCUACAUUUUUAAAAAUUUGACUUCUAUUCAAUAAAAUGUAAAUAUUUUCUAAAAAAGGAAUGGUUCAUAAUUGAGCAUGUGUGUAUAGAGAGAGACCAAUAGUCUAUAUGAUUUUUCUCGUAUUAGACUAUUGUUUUUUUUUUGGUCAACCAUAGUCCAUAUAUAGACUCUUAGGGCGUCGGCUUGUGCAUGUUGAUUGAAUUUUAUAAUUUAAUUAUUUUGGACGUACACGCUUAAUUGCACUUUUGGUCUUCUAUCUUUUAAAAAGGUGGCGAUUUUGGCCCCCCUAACUACUUAAAAUACAAAACAGCCCCUUAUGUAUUGGAUCUUUGGCAGUUUUGGCCCCAAAACCACUUUUGACUUAAUCUUCGCUGACGUGGCACCCAUAAUGGUCGACACGUGACACCUCACUUAAGGGAUGUGGGUGCCACGUCAGCGAAUACUAAGUCAAAAGUGGUCUUGGGGGCAAAAACUGCCAAAUAUUCAAUACAUAGAGGGCUGUUUUGUAUUUUAAGUAGUUAGGGGGCCAAAAUCGCAAUUUUUGAAAAGAUAGAGGCCAAAAGUGCAAUUAAGCCUUCUUUGUGAGCUGUUAAACUAGCUGAAAGAAAAAUGAUAAACAGCGAGAAAUAAGUGUUUGCUUGAUUGUAUGUCAAACACUGCGAGAAAUAAUAGAAGUUAACAGUGUGUGUUUAUAGGAAAAACUAAUUCUAUUGGGCAAAACAUCAUUGGUGUACAAGUUUGGUUUAUUAUUUUUUUUUAAUGGAAAAUAAAUACUUUCAUUAAAAAUCAAAUCGAGCAAAAUUAUAAAACAGUACAACAAAACGAGUUUGGUAUAUUGUUGAUACUCUAUAGAUUAAAUUAGUUUAAAAUUUAAAUAUAUUUUAAAAUAAUGAAAAAUAAAAGAUAUUAUAUGCUACUAAACUAUUUUUGAGAGGAAUAUGAUAAUAAAUUAUUGAAUGGUAGAUACGUACUAAACUAUUUUAAAGCGAACUUGCAUGAAUGAUUUUGAUCCGUGUAGGUGCAUUGAAUGAUUACAUAAUGCCAAAGCGGCGUCCACUUAUAGAUAGAAAACAUACAUAUUUUCCAUUUCAGCAUUUUGCUUGUUAAUUAGAAAAAUGAUCCAUAUUCCAUAGACACCUUUUUUGCCAUAUUAUUACUCCACACAAAAAGUAAACCUUGUUGACUGCGACCUCUUUUUAUUUCGUACCGAUUUCCAACCUAUCAAAGGUGGACGAUUAAUCUGACUUGUACGUAAAGACAUGCGCAUUGGCCAAACGUUGUUCCCAUAGGAAUCGAACCCGAUUCUCCUUUUAACAUAUAAACAAAUUAAUCAUAUUAUCAAUACAACUUAAAGUCUUAAUAAAUAAGGUCGUUCUAGCUAACUAUAGAAUGAGUAAUCUCAUUCAUUUUUCUUUUAACAAACUUGACUCUAUAGUUAUUAAAAAAAGGAUUAAAUAUAUUUUUGGUCUCUAUAAAAUUUAGAACUUUUAAGUCUAGUCAAAACAUGCAAAUUUUGGAGCCGAAACAUGAAAGUGUGGUGGUUAUUUAUUAAUAAGUCUAGUCAAAUUUUGGAGCAUGCGGAAAAUUGAUAGGAAGAUUGGUUGCAUGCAAAUGUACGUAACAAAGCAUGCUAAGUGAACACAACAACAACGAGAUCGGCCUACUCUAGAAACUGACAGGAGACAACUAACAUCGGUUGUCUCGUUGGCAUUCACCAGUAACAGGGCGCCUAAUGUGCAACAUUGAUGUCUCAUUCUCCGUCACGCUGAACUAUACAAGGGUUGCUAUGACACUUUGGUCACAACAUAUUUGCUCCACGGAAGUCGGAGAAUCUUUGGAAUUGGUUCAUGCCAUCAAUUGGGUGCAUCGUCUACAACUUCACAAUGUUGAUUUUGACUAAGUAGCAAAGAUAUUUGUAGAUUAUUUCAACAACGGCAACCACAACAUCACAAAAUUUGACACUAUAUUAGAUGAAUGCAAACAUUGUUGUAGUUUAUUUUUCUCAAACUCCCAAAACCCUAAAACCUGUAGAUUUUAACAGACUUGAACAAUUAUCAGAGAAUCUAGGAAUGAAAAUGCUAAAGCAGCGACAACACGGAACCUUAUCCGUUGAAACCUGUAGAACUCAAUAGAUAUGAAUUUUAUUAUGGUUUAAAUAAGUCCCCCGUUUUUAUAAAUAUAUAUUUUGUUUUUAGUCGUCAAAAAAUUUCUUCAAACAAUGCUCCCUCAAAUAUUUUUCGUCUUAAAAAUUGACAAUCGUUGUUUAAGGUUUCACACAUGACGGUGCAUAAGGGAAUAAAAUUGAAAUUAUAGAGACAAAAAAUUACUUUAAAAUAAGUUUUGCUACUUAUAAAUACAUUGGCUUUCGUUUUUAAUUAAUCCCUCUAUAUAUUGCGACAUGUGCAGCCUUUACAACAAGAAUCCAAUUUGUUGGAGGAAGAUAUUAUUAUUAUGGAUAAAACUUAUAAACAGUUCCCUAGGUGCUGUUUUAACUGUUUUCCAAUAAAAUUGAGACAAGUGGAUUACUUAUUCCACGUCUGACCCGCUAUCGAAACUUUGACCUUAAAUCUAUAUCGCUUCCGUUAACCCUCUUGCCUCCGUUAACUUCCAAUGUGAAAGUUGCCUGAAAGACUCCAAUUCACAGGAUUCACUUGCAACAACCACCGACAACCAUGGUAUCUCAAAACUACAAUUAGAUUUUACACCAAUUUUUUUUUUUUUUUUUUCAAUUAAUGAAACCUCUUAAUUUACCUCUCAAAACACCUCUACAUGUUUCACUUUUUUUCAAUCAGAUUUUUAUUUGGGUCCUCAAUGUCUCUCUCGGGAUGUGCCAUUGCAAGAUUCAAAAUAGGAUGUGAAUGUUGUUGAAUGAUUUGUAAGGAUUGGAAGAUCCUUAGUCAAUUGCACAGCAAACGUGAUUUCAUUAAAAAUAGUAAACGAAGAUAAUCUCCACUGUAUCAAAUACUUAGCAUGUCUCACAAAACAAAAAACCACGUAGAUGUAGAAGGGAGGCCAUGGGCAUUUGUUGGAGGUGACAGAGACGCAGUAGCUCCUGGGGAGGAUGCCGGCACGAAAGUUGGUUCGUAGUUGAUGUUGGUCAUGCCAGGAAGAAAGUUGGGCUUUAAUUGUUUCGUAGGUUAACAGCCGUAAAGAGAGAGUUAACGAAAGAUUAGAUGACUAUAUUAAGAAAUCCACUUGUCACAAAUUUAUUGGAGAACAGUACCAACAGCACAUAGGGAACUGCAUCUAAGUUUUGUCCUAUUAUUAUUUUUAAAUGAAAUUGGAGGAAGAUAUUUAGGGGACCAAUGUUUGAAAUAAAUUUAGAGAAACUAAAAAUUUAUAAGAACAAAAGACUUAUUUAACAAUCUUUAAUGAACUGAGAUUGUUAAUGAAGCUUGUGUUGACAAUCGUCAUUUUGAUGAUGCUUUAAUUGCAAGUGUGUCUUUCCUGCAUAUUGUUUCUCUCUUUAUAAAAAUUGUAUCAUGAAACUUUUUGAUUUGCAUUGAAUCGACUCAUUUUAAUUUGAAUCGUAUCAAUCUUUAUUCUGGGUAAUUUAAAUCGAUUCAACUUUUGCCUGAAUCGCAUCAAUCUUCAUGUUCUUCUCGCUUGUAUUUAUGUUGUCUGAAUCAAUUCAUACUUUUAGUGAAUUGAUUCAAAUAGUUAUUUUUGGACGAAAAUUUGCACCUGCACUCAUUUACUAUAUACCCAUUCUCUCAUAACUCCCAUUUCAUUGAACCAUUUGCAUCUAUUCUCUCUAGGUCUCAAAAACUCAUUGUUCAUAAAUUCUUCAAGAUUAAACACUUUUUCUUAGAAUCACUUUGUACAUUGAGUCACAUUGAUUUGCUAGGGUGCUUAUCGGGAUUGUAAGUUGGUUCUCUCAAGGAAAUUGGUUGGGCUUAAUCAAGGUUCCAAAGUGAAGUGAAUAAUCUCAUUCCACCUCCAUAGGGCUUGUGGAUUCUUUCUAAUUGUUCUUGCAAUCGAAGGGGAAUCGUUUACCGGACGCAGUAUCGCAGACUUGAGUGAAGAGUCUGAAGGGGUGCACGGGUAAUCAAUGAUUCGAUGAUUCAAGGAGCACCAAAUUCAAAGGUUAUUUGAAGUUUGGGGGAGUGUUUACAUAGGGGUUUUUCAAGGAACUCUUGGUGGAGACGUUUUUUACCAAGAAGAGUAGACGGUGUUAUCUCUCUUCCUUAUCCUCUUUACUUUCAAUUGUUGCAUAUGUUAAUUGAUUAAUUGUUAGAGUAGAAACUUGUAUUGAUCUAAGUUGUUUUUGAUAAAAAUUUAAUUUAAUUCUUUGAAUUAGAUUUUAGUACUUACCUUGGAUCAAUUGGUUUCAAUUACUAUUCAAUUCUUCAAUUGCAUAUGCCAUGUGUUUUUGAUUGAUAGCUUGUUAUAUUUUCAUAUAGGUUUGGUUUUGAAAUUGUCUAGUUUAGCAACUUGUUCAAGAACCAUUUACUUUUGAUUCUAAUAAGAUUUGUAUUGUGAAUCUCUCAAUUUUAUAUUGUAUUUUAUUAGCACAUAGCAUUAUCUUUUUGUGAAUUGUUAUGAUUGUUCAAGCUUUUUUCCAAUAGUCAAAUCAAUUCAAAUCGCUUUUUGUUAAAACUUCAAAAAACUUUAUCAAAACACUAUUCACUCCCCUCUAGCGUGCAACCUUAUUGGCCAUAUCGACCAACAAUUAAUUAAGUGGCAACAUAAUAUAUCUUGUACAAAAUUGGGGUAUAUGUUUAGGGAGUAAUUGUUGAGGCAAAAUCCCUAAUUAAUUUUAAAGAUAAUAAACCAAUAUGAUUAAAGAAUUAAUGGACUUUGAUUAAUUCCUUGGUAUUUAACUUGUGCUCUUGAGUGUUUUACUAAGACAUGAACAAGGUUUAGAUCAUACCAAGAAUCAAGAAAUCAAAGGACAUUUGAACUCAUGAUCUAACACUGAGGUCAGAAAGUUAGAUCAGAAUGUUGCUUGAAGAUCAGAAUGUUCAAGCAGAGAUCAGAAGGUUGUUCUUAAACAAGCCAAGAGUCUCAAGAACUUUGAUCAAAGGUCAUGCAAGGCACAUGUGACAUGGGUAUAUGUCCAGAAGAGUAUAUUUGCAUGGAUCAAUCAAGCAAUAAAGGCAUAUACAAGGGUUAUGUCAAAGAAGGCAUUCAAUGUUCAUUUAAGACUAUGAACAUUGAUGUACUAGGAAUAUUUCACAAAGGAAUAUCAUCCUAGAUGUUAUUAUCACUGCUCUUCAUUAUUGUUUCACUAUUAGGAUUUGAUUACAUCAAAUGAUAGUCUUACAAAUCAUCCUAAGUGAAACAGAUGGAACAUUCUGAUGAUCAGAAUGUUCAAGCUCAGCUCAUGCUUACUUUAUGAACAGUAUAGUAGGUGAAAAGCAAAAAGCAAAAGCAAAGCAAAUAUGUCAUCUUCAACAAGAGAUAGACACGUCUGAGAGUUGGUACUGAACAAGGACAACACAAUCUCUCAAAGCAUGGGCAUGAAGAUGCAGAAUCCCACUAAAUCCUCCUGCACCGGUUCCAAGACAAAAUCUGGGAAAGGAACAUUCUGAUGUAUGAAGAAAAGUCCAUACAUUGGUUAUUGUCCAGAAAUUCAUAUGAAAAGCAUAUGCAUAGCCCAGAACUUCAUGUGUUCAUUCAUACAUGAUGAACCCAGAUGAAGAACAUGAUGAACCCAGAUGAAGAUCAUCAUGAACACAACAACAUUCUGAUGUUCAUCAGAGAUCAGAAUGUUUGCCCAGAAUUUCAAGUUAAAGCUUGUGGGACCCAGGACACAUGGCAUAACACCAUUGGACAUCCUACAACGGCUAUAUGAGCCCAAAGACUCUAUAAAUAGAGAUCAAGGCAUUAGCAAAACUUGCACCAUUGCAAAGCAUACAAGAAAACAACUCUGAUUUUGUUUGAAGCUUUUGCAAACUGAAAUUGAUCAAUCUCUAAGUCUUUCAUCAACUUAGUGCAAAUCAAUACUCUUGUUAUCUGUAUGAUAACCUCUUCUUCUUCUUCCACUGUUUGUUUUACAAACAUCCAACUUCCAUACAAAUUGUAACAAAGUCUCAUCUAGCUUUUAGAGGUCCUAAAGUGUUAGGUUGAGCAAAGGUUGUAAAAGUCUAAGUGGUUAACUUAGCAAGAAGGUGCAAGCUUGCUGAGGCUUAGAGAAUACAUGAUUGUAAUUGUUCAGGUGAACAAGAUUGUAAGGUGCAGGACUUGAGAGGUUAUCUCAAGCAUCUUAGUGGAAACUCUCACAGGAUUGUGGGGAGUGGACUAGCCCACAUUGGGUGAACCACUAUAACUCUUUGUGUGUUCUUUCUUUCUUCUCUAUACUCUUUUAUUUACAGUAUACACAACACACACUUACACUUAUACUUUAGUAAACAAUUUUGUUUAUGAACUUCAGAACAUUCUGAAGUCAGAAAGUUAACAUAAUUCCAAGUAAACAACUUGAGAAUCAUUUUUAAGUUUCAGGAUAAUUUUUAAAGGGUCACAAUUCAAACCCCCCCUUCCUUGUGACUAUUUUAUCUACUUCAAUUGGCAUCAGAGCCAGACUCUAAGGGUUUGAACACUUAAACAAGUGUUAGAGAAAAGAUUCAGGAAGUAUGUCUAAAGUCAAAUACAUAGCUGAAGGAGGAUCUUCAAAUAGACCACCACUUUUUGAUGGAUCAAACUACUACUUUUGGAAAGGCAAGAUGAAACUCUUUCUCAGAUCUCAAGACAAUGAUAUGUGGGCAGUCAUCACAGAUGGAGACUUUGUUCCAACAACCAAAGAAGGAGCUGUCAAAGCAAAAAGUGCAUGGUCAACAGAUGAAAAAGCUCAGGUAUUACUAAACUCUAAAGCUAGACUCUUUCUAUCAUGUGCACUAACCAUGGAAGAAAGUGAAAGAGUUGAUGAAUGUACAAAUGCUAAAGAAGUAUGGGAUACUCUGAAAAUACAUCAUGAGGGUACAUCUCAUGUCAAAGAAACUAGAAUUGACAUUGGAGUCAGAAAAUUUGAAGUCUUUGAAAUGAGUGAAAAUGAAACCAUUGAUGAGAUGUAUGCCAGAUUUACUACAAUAGUAAAUGAAAUGAGAUCUCUUGGAAAGGCAUAUUCUACUCAUGAUAAAAUUAGAAAAAUACUGAGAUGUCUUCCAAGUGUGUGGAGACCUAUGGUCACUGCAAUCACUCAGGCAAAAGAUUUAAAAUCUAUGAACCUGGAAGAUCUCAUUGGUUCACUAAGAGCUCAUGAAGUUGUACUUCAACGAGACAAACCAGUGAAGAAGGUAAAAACACCUGCUUUGAAAGCAUCUCAGCAAACCCCAUCAGUUGCUGAUGAAGAUGUGCAAGAACCACAAGAAUUAGAAGAAGUUCAUGAAGAAGAAGCUGAAGAUGAACUUGCACUAAUCUCUAAAAGAAUUCAAAGGAUGAUGUUGAGAAGAAAUUAGAUCAGAAAGAAGUUUCCAAAGACCAACAUCAGCAUCAAAACUGAAGCUGACAAAAGUCAAGUCACUUGCUAUGGAUGCAACAAAACUGGACAUUUCAAAAAUGAAUGUCCUGACAUCAAAAAGGUUCAAAGAAAACCUCCUUUCAAGAAGAAAGCAAUGAUCACUUGGGAUGACAUGGAUGAAUCAGAUUCUCAAGAAGAUGCAGAUACAGACAUGGGACUGAUGACUCAGUCAGAUGAUGAGGAAGAGGUAAUUAUCUAUAAAACUGAGUCUCUAUAUAAAGAUCUUGAAAAUAAAAUUGAUAGUCUCUUAUAUGAUUCAAACUUCUUAACUAAUAGAUGUCACUCUUUAAUUAAAGAACUUUCUGAGAUAAAAGAAGAAAAAGAAAUACUUCAAAACAAGUAUGAUGAGUCUAGAAAGACCAUAAAAAUUCUGCAAGAUUCUCAUUUUGACAUGUCAGAAAAACAAAGAGAGAUAAACAGAAAACAAAAAGGCAUUAUGUCUGUACCUUCUGAAGUACAAAAGGAAAACAUACUUUUGAAAAAGGAAGUUGAAACAUUGAAAAAGGAUCUGACAGGGUUUAUAAAAUCUACAGAAACUUUUCAAAACAUAGUAGGAUCUCAAAAUGAAAGUACUAAGAAAUCUGGCUUAGGCUUUAAGGAUCCAAGCAAAAUUAUUGGAAGUUUUGUACCUAAAGCUAAAAUAAGAGUUAAAUGUUGUUUCUGUGAUAAGUAUGGACAUAAUGAAUCAGUAUGUCAUGUUAAGAAAAAAUUUAUCAAACAAAAUAAUUUAAAUCUUAGUUCAGAACGUUCUCAUCUCAAUAUAUCAGAAAGUUCACAAAAGGCUGAAAAGGCUAAGAAGACAUGUUUCUACUGUAACAAAUCUGAUCAUAAAAGACAGAAUGUUACUUUUAGAAAAGAUCUCUUAGAAGAACUAACCCUCAAGGACCCAACAUUACAUGGGUACCUAAAUUUUUUAUCUUGUCAAAUGUAGGUCCUGCCUCAGGGUGCAAGAACAAAACCAUGGUACCUGGAUAGUGGUUGUUCUAGGCACAUGACAGGUGACAGGAAUUGUUUUCUAACUUUUGAAAAGAAGGAUGGAGGACUAGUGACAUUUGGAAACAAUGACAAAGGUAAAAUCAGAGGUAAAGGUACUAUAGGUAAUCUUAACUCUGCUAAAAUAGAAAAUGUUCAGUAUGUGGAAGGUUUAAAACAUAAUCUACUUAGCAUAAGUCAAUUGUGCGAUAGUGGAUUUGAAGUUAUCUUUAAACCUAACAUAUGUGAAGUCAGACAAACCUCCUCUAACAAAUUGUUUUUCUCUGGUUCAAGAAGAAAGAACUUAUAUGUUUUAGAACUGAAUGAUAUGCCUGCUGAAUCUUGUUUUAUGUCUCUUGAAAAAGACAAAUGGAUCUGGCACAAAAGGGCUGGUCACAUAAGCAUGAAAACCAUUGCUAAACUUUCUCAACUUGAUCUAGUUAGAGGUUUGCCUAAGAUUAGCUUUGAAAAGGACAAAAUCUGUGAAGCAUGUGUUAAAGGUAAACAAGUAAAAAGUAGUUUUAAAACUAUUGAGUUUAUCUCAACUCAGAAACCUUUAGAGCUUCUUCAUAUUGAUCUUUUUGGUCCUGUUCAAACUGCAAGUCUAACUGGCAAAAGAUAUGGAUUUGUUAUUGUUGAUGAUUUCUCCAGAUUUACAUGGGUUCUAUUUUUAAAACAUAAAGAUGAAUCUUUUGAAGCAUUUCAAAACUUUUGCAAAAGAGUUCAAAAUGAAAAAGGUUAUAAUAUCAUCACAGUUAGGAGUGAUCAUGGAGGAGAAUUUGAAAAUGCAUCCUUCAAAACAUUCUUUGAUGAAAAUGGUAUUAAACAUAAUUUUUCUUGUGCAAGAACUCCACAACAAAAUGGAGUUGUUGAAAGAAAAAAUAGAACCUUGCAAGAAAUGGCAAGAACAAUGUUAAAUGAAUCAAAUGUUGAAAAUUACUUUUGGGCAGAAGCCAUUAACACAUCUUGUUACAUUUUGAAUAGAGUUUCUAUAAGAAAGGUUCUUAACAAAACCCCAUAUGAACUCUGGAAAAAUAUUAAACCUAGCAUAUCUUACUUUCACAUAUUUGGCUGCUAUUGUUACAUAUUGAACAAUAAAGAAAAAUUUUGGUUGGUUAGUGGAUAUAAAAUUUUGCUUGACUUUUAAAUAUCCUCCCGCAAAUAAAUGGUGGGAUUUAACCUCACGAAUUAAUUGGUCCUCAUAUCAUAUAUCAAGUUUUUUUUUUUUUUUAAGAAAAAAAAGAACAAUGCCGGAGACUAAUAUCUCAUAUUUUCUUCAUUAAAUCAAUCCCCGCUAGAAGACUGUUCUGUUACGAAUACGACGGUUAUUUUCUCUCAGCGGUGCAGUGACAAUGGAAUACAUUUGUGCCGUCGAAGAUAAGUGUGUUUGGAUGGAGAUUACUCUAAGACAAGUUACCAAUGCAAGUGGAAUUGUGGAGACGAAGCGUCAUUUGUGAUGUGCAUCAACAAUGUUGUGUAUUUUGUUUUAAUGAAAUUGAAACACCUGAGUAAUUUGUUUGCAAGUUGUACAAAGACAAAGAUAACUUGGGAUUGUAUUUUCAAAUGGUUGAAUAAUAUUUUUGGUUCUUGACAUAACAACUGCAGUUGCUGCCACUGAUGAAAAGUUAUAUACAUAUCAGGUAAGUUUCUGUUGUUUCCUCCUCAGCCCUCUGCACUUAUUUUUUUUCUUAUCCCUUCUUUUUCUUUUUUGAUUCAUUCUUCCAAUAGUUACUUACUUACUUUAUGUAUGCCAUGGUUUUUCAUACUCUCUUUUCUGAUUCAUUCUUACGUUACUUUAUACAUGUCAUGGUUUUCAUACACAUAAAGCAUCCAGUCAAAUACCUAUAGGCAAUUUUUGAACCGAAAACCCCUUCAAUAAGGCAUCCUAUAAAUCAAUUGAAUACAAGUCCCACAUCGGAGAAUUAAACAUUUGGAAAGGGUAUUAUCAAGUAUAUAAGAGUAAACUGAAAUGCAUUAAUUGGACAUAAGAUUCAAUCAUAUGAAUUCUCUCUUUAUCUUUAUCUUUCUCUUCCUCUCUUAGUUUUACUCUUUGGUGAAAAUAAAGAAGAGGAAUGGAAAGGAAAAUUAAAGAGAUGAUUCAAUUUGAAAAUCUUUCUUAAAUUUUGAACGUAUGCAACAAUAAUACAUUUUAAAUAAAUUUAAAAUAAAUAAAUUUUUAAAAUAUAAGAAUAUAAAUAUAAUUGGAGUCCCCACAAAUUAAGUACUCAUGGUUUGGUGGCUUAGUCUAGAACAAAUUGAACCUCUUGAAUUAGUUAGGCAUUGAGUUAGAUAUUGAAUUUUCAAAACCAAAAAAAAAAAAGAACACCGCAAAAGAUAAAUCUCAUCAUAUAAAGAAGGUAAUAGUAAAAAAUUUU
rnacentral:lncRNA from 1 species